UCAAAAAAAAGUUCCUUAAUUCAUCGUGUAUUUCAACGAACUUCACUGAUCGAAGAUUUAGAUUUUUGCAAACCUGAAACUGAAUUCAUUUCAAUUGAAAAUAUCCAAACUCACGUGGCUGUCAGAUUCGAAGUCAAGCUCAACUCGGCCAUGUUCAUCCUCCCACAGGUUGUAAAUAAUGACCUUUGUUCCUUUCUCGGUCAUACCGAAAAACUGCCGAUCAAACAUUAAGAUUCAGAAACAUUCUGGGCAUUGAAAUUUAGUACCAUAUUUCGUGAUUCUUCGACACACUGCACUUGUCUGAAUGUAAAUUAGAGAGCAUAUUCACAAACUCAGAACUGGAAAAGCCCAACCAACCAACAGCUCUGACCUGGGUGAAAAGAUCAUGUUCAGUGCAAUACGGGGACCACUGCUGAAUAGUCUGCAAAUUAUGGACCCAAUCGUUUGCUGUGCUCCUGAUCAGAGGGCAGAUCAUUCCAUCCUUUAGCUCAUAAUCUACCUGCAGACAAGUCAUCCAAUCUCUCAACAAUUGUGAGGAGAAUCCCCACACAGAAUUGUCGAGUUCAUAAGCAGUUGUGAAGCCUUAUUGAAUCCUCAUCAUUGGUUUUUCAUUCAAGUGCUUCAGUAGUGUCACAUGAGAACAACAAAAUUUAGCACCAGAUGUUUAGUAACUCCGUUCAGGAGAUCAACUGAUAGAAACGUUUUUCUUAGCUGGAGAUGGAUACAGAAAGAAUAUUUAUAAUUUGAACAUUGUCAGUUUAAAGGCGACCGCCCAAGAAGCGACAUCCCCUAACCAGAUUCACCUCCUAAAACUGACAAGAUAUCCUGGAAAAGCUUUUAAUGGGAGAUAUUCUCACCAUGGGCACAACAAUAUCAUCAUGUCCCGUACUUCUUAAAAACGUGAAGGAUAGUAAGCCGAUGCUCUGAGUGGCUCUGCAUAAAAGCGCUCAACUUAUCGUCAUAUUUUGCUAAGUCACAGUAGCAUAUGCACAUAAUGAUUGCUGGUAAAGCUUACAAAUUUAGGAACUGAAUAUUUUCCUUUUUGGAACAGGGUGGCAAGUACCCUAAAAUGCAAGCAUCAAUGCAAAUACUGUGAAAUUGACAACCAAGACAUUCGCCACCAUCACAGAAAAGUUUUGGACGUGCCUUCGUCCGACAUCAGCCGGUGAGCGCGAAAACACAAUGACGUCCGCUCCUAGUCGCAUGGUGCUCGUCUUGAAUCCAUUCCCAUCUGGAGUUUCCGAAUAGACAAUGUUUCACGAAAUUACUUUCGGUCUCAUUCAUAGGGAAUCCUUUGGUUUUUUGCUCUCAAAUCCAGGCUUGUCCCAAGCAGUCAAAUAAUUUAAUGGGUUUUUGGGAAUCAGUCCAGACUUCCUCGUAAUUUUCAAUGGUUUUUUGAUUGAAAUUAGGCUUGUCGAUCCUCUUCACUUCAAGUUUACUUACAUUGACAAAGAAAAUCCCGGCAAUAAUUAAAACCCUUGAAAGGAAUAACCCUCAUGAUCUGUCGACCGCGCUGAAUAUCAGCAGUAUGAGUAGGAUUCCUUGACCCACUAUGUGAAUGACGCACAGGUGUAUUUGAGACUUACAUUGGCCAAUUGUGUUCCCGCUUUUGCUCUUAGUGGAGAAUCCCAAGGACAUACAUUCCCUCAUGCGUUCGGGAGUCAUUCCACCACCAUUGUCUAUUGAGAAUUCAGAUAUGUGAAUUAGGAUUAAAAUUUGUACAAACUUGAUCAUCAAAGAUAAGAACGAGUAUGCAAGCCAUGAUCAAGGAGUCGGAACUUUGUAAUGAAGAGAUAUUGAAAGCCUACUUUUGCUAGGAGUUUGUAUUCAAACCUUCAAUGUAUAGCAUUGGCGAUCCAUCACGUGGGUUUCGGACCAUGUCCACAUUCACAAAAGUCGCUCCAUUUUUCACCUGAACGAAAUGACAUGGGCAAAACAUCAAUACCACAAAAGGAAAAGGAGGCUGUAAUUUUGCGCCUUAAAGAAAUUGACGUAGUGUAUAGAAUAGCUAGAGAGUGCAGUUAAAGAUUCUGUCAUGCAGAUAAUUUCUCGAACUCUAAGAAUUAUUACAUAUUCCUACGUAAUGCGAGUAGAAAAUUCGUAAGGAAUUGGAGAUGAAGAAGGUGUUUAGAACUACCUCGUCCAUUGAAUUGUCUAGGAUUUCAGCGACAGCUGCGCCCACGAAAGCAGUGUCAGGGCUAACAUCCUUCAAACAAAGAUUGUUCAUGAUACCCUUUAAGUCAGCAUGAUCUUUUGUAUCCUCACAGGUUUGAACAGACUUAUCAACAAAUUUAGCCCAACUUCCAGGAAAUGUACACAAAUCCGUUCUAUCCACCGUAGAGGCCAGCUAUUCCAAUUCACCUUAAUGAUCAUCAACAGGUCUUUAGAAAUAGCUUGAGGUUCUACUUGCAGUACAGUGCUCCCUGUCAUGUUUGACGCUGAUUAUUGCAGACCUUACACCUCAGAAGGUUUUGUGUAAUACCCCACCAUUCUUUUUCAGACGCUGACUUCAUUCGCCACAACCUUAGUUCUGUUCAUCUCAUCCACUACUGCGACGUAUGACGAGCUAUCAAGUAUAAAGACUCGAAAAAUCUUAGAACUUAGCUUCUUUAUUCUCUUUCCUUUGUUUUCUUUCUUUCUUUCUUUCUUUCUUUCUUUCUUUUCUUCUUUUUGUUUGGAAAUUGUACCCAAGUACCUCCUAGAGCCCAUUUGUGACUGGUUGCGUUUGAGUGCAGAAACUUCGGGUGAACCCGUACGUGAUCAAUCCCACCUGAACAUAGUAAAGGCACUCAGUUAAACCUGCGUUCACCAAUUCUACUGAGAUUUGUCACUAUUCAGAUACUAGGGCAGAACGCUGUCAUCUAUAAGCCCUCUCUAGACACUCUACGAAAUAUUCAGAGUAGGCAGCUGAAGCCCAAUCUUGCAAUCUUUGAACGGUGCUUCACAUUGCAAGUGUGAAAGAGCCCAAACCUGGUGGUUGCGGAGUAUUGGCAGGGACUCCUUCGUAGUCUCCAGCUUUCCAGAACUGGCGGCACUCAAUGCGCACAUUCUUGGUUGCCUCCACUUCAACAUUAGAGUCUCUGUUCGAAAGAGGCCAAUUAGAGAAUGGCGCAGCGUUUGGCUGUUUAAUCACAGCCCCCUCCUGAACUGGAUUGUCGACUGUGACGCCCUGAUCAUGGCUCCAUUGAGCGCCGGAGGGGCUCUCUGGAUCUUCCAGCUCUGGGAUAGCUGUGUCGAUUGGUUCUGCCUUGUACCUUUUCUGUAGAAUGCAUGCUUUCAACUGACUGACGUAGACACUGUUACUUUUGGUCUCAUUCACCUGCUGCGGGCUCCCGCCGUCGCUCACUGUAGUUGAGCUGUGGUCUACAGACAUGGUCAUGCCCUUAUUCGCUGCCGUCGGCUCCAUCUUCACACCCCCUAAUGCUGGCUGCGCACCCAUUUCUUCCAGCAUAGCCUCAAUCCUUGCAUGUGUGUGUGAGUGUGUGUGAGGAAAAGGGAGUGAGAGGGAAGAGAGCUCAAAUACUUGACUCGAUGCGCUUCUAGAAUUUCAGACACUCCAUUUACAGAAACUUAACUAGAGACUGGGCCGUCUUCAAUGUGGUUUGUCCAAACCCGAGUCUUGUAUUGCAGCAUUCUUGCGGAAUUUUUACCCCCACAUACUCAUAGAUGAAUUCAAACCAUUACCAGAUUCCCAUCUCGCUCCAGAUGAGCAAGCCAAUUGUUGCGCGGAGGUCCAACUACAUACUUGUUAAGUUAGAGAACUCCAUAUGCUGGAAAGAGAACUAGCAGAAGACGGGAGAAAUCAAGAGAAUAAGACAGGUCGGAAGCAAGAGACCAUCACUUGAGCGGAACAUCACUGCUCCUCGCUACCCCAUGGUCAGCAGCUCGAAACAAGAAUGUUUCCAGGCGGAGUCAGAACUGGUGGUGACCAUGAGACUUCCAUGAAUGGGCACGUACAGGUAAGCUCAUGGGCCUGCAGGGGAAGGGAGGCGGGAGGGAGGAGGCUUGAGACUCGGUAACCUUCAAGAGGAGGCUGGUGACUCUGAAACUAUGUCGAUGUUGAAGUAUUACAUGUAGAAGACGCCUAGUAGGUCAGGAUCAAUUUCUACGUCUACUGUGAUUGUACUCUAGUAGGCUUUCGGCGCCAGCAGUCCAGCCCAACGACCAAGAACCAAGACAAUCCCCCAAUAAUCGGAUUUGCAACAAGUUCAACCCUGCAAGGUAAUCGCAAACCACACCCCCAGCUCAUGCAUGCGUGGAUGCCAAGCUCGCUGAAAAAGGAACUUCACUCCAAAAUAUAAAAGGGGAAAGAAGAAGACACCGUAAGAAACAAAAAAGAACUUUAAAACCUCUCUCUCUCUCUCUCUCUCUCACCGCCUGCCACUUGUACUCAUCGGCUAUGGCAAACAUACGUCAGCCACACUGCGGUGAAAGAGAAACAGAACACUCCUCCUUCGGCAAAGAACACAAAGAACAUUAGUUGGAGCCGCGAGAGGGGUUGUGAAGCUGCAGUAACGUCACGCCGGGCCGUGAGUGAGCUUAGUACAGAGCAGCCUUUUAGUCAAGAGAGAGUGCGCGAGUUGCUACAGUGAUAGUGGAAGCGGUGCUGGCGUUACUGUGUGGGUGGGAGUAUAAAUCCAGACCCAGAGAGAGGUAGAGUCAAGGCUCAUUCCCCAAUGCCGGUUCAUGAGGGAGAGAUGUGGGAGAAGUAGCAGCAGCAACAGCAGCAGCAGGAGGAGUAGUAGUGUAAUAACAAUUAUAACAGUAACAGUAAUUGGAUGACUAUGGUUCCUGCAAGCGCGCGAGGUACAGCACCCUCUGUUGACUCCUCUCACGGCGCUUCAGCCCCCUUCCUUCAAUGCCAUAGCUUCUUUCCCUCUCCAUCCCUGUCACUGGCCCGCAGUACAUCUCAACCCUUGCAGCCCUCCCAUAUCUAGCCAUAUCUCUCCCUCAACUGACUCCCUCCCCCAUCGACAAAUCCAGCUUCUGGGCUUCCUCUUCUUUUUCCUCCUCGUCCUCUUACUCUAUCGCUUCUUCUUAUUUACUUAUGUAUUCAAUUUCUGUUUCUUUUUUGCGUCAGCGUCUGCCCGCAGCUUUGAUGACGCACCAGUGGGGAGAAAUUCGGUUGUUCUGGUAACGCCUGGGAAAAUCUGGACCCAGGUGAAGCAGGAAGCGCAAAGCCUGACGAGCAAUGGCUUUAGAGCUCUGACGACCAGCCUUGCUUUGCUUUUUUUCCACUUGGGGUGGUAGAGACGAAGACGAAGACGGGGAAAAGACGAACAAUACGGAGAAUCUGUUGCUGGUGCAGCAGUUGUUGCAACUCUGACUAGCAGCUUUUCACAGAGAUGGCAUGCACAGGAAGAGUUCCUCCCUCGCUCUCCAUCUCAGGGAGUGCCCAUGAACACCGAAACCCAUCACCAUCUUCUUCGCCUUCGCCCUCCCAUUCCUACCUUCGUUGAUGAUGGCCUUCGCCGCCGCUACUGCAGCCAUGGAACCUGGUCUCACAUCCAACACCAACACCAUCACCAUCACCACGCAACUCUGUCUCCUGCUCUGAGGAGUUCAGCCACCCGGGACUAGCGCUCUGAUCUUGUGCCAUGCUAUCUCUUCGUCUUGUGCUUCUUCUUCGUCCUCCUCUGGGGACGUGAGACACAGGGAACUGGACUUCCGAUCUUAUGCCAUGCUUUCUCGUCGUCUUCUGCCUGGUGUUGGCUCCUGUCUGAAACUACUCCUCUGGGUUGAUUUCUAUUUCUCUCGUUUUUAUUUUAAUGAAUGAUUGAGUUUUUUUAUUUAUUUAUUUUCAUUUUAAAAUUGGAACAAGUUGAUGAAUUUGUUUGAACUUUUAUUGACAUUUAGAAGUCAAAAAUGCAAUUCUUCAAGUCACAAAGUGAAACUCUAUUUGCAAAACUGAAUGAAUGAAUAUGAAAAUGAGGGUGAUAGUGAUAUCGAGAAGGUUAUAUUUGUGGAUUCUUUUAUUUAUAUAUUUAUUUUUAUGGAGAAUGAUGGUUGUAAGAUUUUUAGGAUUCUAUGUUGAUUUUUUGUUGAAGAGAUAAACUUUUAGGCUGUAGAGCUAUGGUUUUCUAUUGGAAAAAUGGUGUUCAUAAUUAAAGGUCAUAAUUAAAGGUAAUUUAGCACAGCUAUUCUGUUCUAGUGAAAACUAUUUGUUUUAAUGGAUUGCUAGUGAAUAUAUAAGAAUGCAUUUUUUUUGAAAUAAUAAUAAAUAAAAAUAGUAGUGUUAAAGAUAUUUGCAACUUUUGCAUUUUCAUAAUUUGAUAAUGUAAUUUUUGUUAUUGUUUAAAAAUAUUUCAUAUUUAUUGUAUUUAGAAUGUAACGUUGAAUCAUACAAGUUGUGGUCAAUGAAAUAUUUAUAUUUUUUUCAUACAACAUAUGCACAGAGUAAAAUUGUAUUUCCAUUUCUAUAAAGUUUAUUCUGUGCAUCCUAAAAAUCAAUUUUAUGAAUGCAUGUCCUUUGUUCUUUUUUGAUUAUCAUAACACAUAAUGUAAACAGGUUAAGAAUUGUUGAAAGAUGCUCUGCCAUUAUUUAUUAUUCCAUUUAUAAUAUAUAAUAUUUUAAACAUCUACAGUACCAAUGUAAUUAAUGCUUUUUUUUUUUUUAUAUAUAGCAUGAUACAUAACAGGAAGUAAAAACAUAAAUUUUAUUUAUUUAUAGUGCUUAUAUAUGUUAUUUAACACACCAACAAAAUAGUUUAAAAGACAAUCAAAUUAGAAUAUUGUGAAAAUAUGUGAGAAUCAAUAUAAAAUCAUUUCUGAUUUUAAAGUUUGACUGUAGAAUUUGAAUACGCUAUAUAUUAUUAGCAAAUUUGUAACACGACUGAUUUGUGUGUUUGUGUGUACGUAUAUUUAUAUAUAUAUAUAUAUAUAUAUAUAUCAAAUCUGAACAAUAAAUUUUAGUAGUAGGAUAUUCAUACUAACCGUGAGGGAAAAUUAAUGAAAUUGAAGCAAUGAUUAUUUCCAAAAUACUUAGGUGAAACAAAAAUUUAACAAGUAUUUAUUUUAAGUUUAUAAAAUUGUACUCAUUUUUAUACAUAAAACAUGAAAGUACACCACAAACCAAAAUCAUAAAAUUUAUGUGGUUGCAUUUCAUAUUGCUCUUAAGUUGUAGUUCUUAGUUACACAUUUCUUCUUCUCUUUUCUCUUUUUAUAUACAUAUUGGUUUAUUUUGUAUAUAUAUAUAUAUGUAAUCAUAUUAAAAUUUACAAAAAUACAGUAAUGCUUCAGUUUUUUUUUUUUUUUUUUUUUUUUUUUUUUUCUCCUGUUCAUCGAAGUAAUUUUUAAUAUUAUUUUUUGUAACGAAUGAAAUGUAAUCUUGUGAUUCUUGGUUGCAUUCAUUGGAUUGUGAUUCAUUACAGUGUUGUAUAUCACCACACACCAAUAUCUUGCUCUAAUACGUUACUCCCAAAACAAACGCCAGUGCUAGUACAUAUGAUGCUUUUUUUUCUUCUUACAAUUUUCAUCCUUUUUAUUUUUAUUUUUAAUAAUGUAAUAUGGUACAUAUCCUCACGUAAUAACAUUAUCAAAUUAUAAUAAAUGUACAGCUCCCGCUUUAAAGAGAGGCACAUUCUGGCCUAGUAAUGGGUGAUGGAUAUUAUGCCCCGCGGGUGUCCACGUCAUCUCGGCACGGGCUGACAGGGCCACUCGGCCAUCGUGGACUCAUGCAGACGCAGACAGAUCGACCCUUCCACGUCGGCAAAUUCCACGUCAGCCGAAAUGGACACCUGGAGAGUCGACGACGAGCGUACAAAGAGACGAGAGGACGUGUCUUUCGUAUGUACGAAUUUGUCAGUUCCGAAAUAAAUUCAUUUAUCAAUGAAUUCAUCCAUCUAGGGACUGGCACUAGAUCUUGUGUGGCAGGGCAUCGAGAUAAUAUCCAGCAUGGAGCCUGGGCUGACGUGGCUGACAGUUCUCAUCCACCUCCAGUGAAAGUAGUGGGAAAGUAAAAGGCAAAGGACACUCUCUUCUUAAACCCAUUCUCCUCUUGACUUUUUUUGGGGCGACGGUUCUUUUUCAUGCACCCUAAAAUAAAGUUCUUAUGAAUAGUGUAUUUCUCAUGUCUGCUUCGAGUGUGAGUUGGUUCAUUCAAACUAUGAUAUAAUUUUUUUUAAAGUAAAAAACAAAAUAUAUAUAUAUAUAUAUAUAUAUAUAGUAACUAAGGGACUAUGACAGAGGAAUUUAUUGUGUUUUUUCCAAAAUUUUGACUACCAUUUGAUAAUCUCAUUGUUCUAAAUAUGGACUCCAACUCAAAGCAAAAACAUUGCUGUGGAAUAGCGUCAGAAUAUCUGAAACCAUAAUUGAGUUGAUUAGAAUGGGGGUGAAAUAAAGUAUAUAAAACACACACACACACACACACACACAUAUAUAUAUAUAUAUAUAUAUCCUAACAUCCCUUUAAAAACUACAUGAGUUGAACAGUCUCAUUCACAAAGCAGCCAAUAUUUAAUAUUUUACUUAUAUAUUUAUUUGAAAAUUAAAUAAGGUUUUCGUAAUAACUAUUAAUAUUUAGCCAGAAUUUUGAAUGAUUCUUUGAAAAAAUAGGUGGUUAAUUUUUUGGAUUGUAAGGCAUUAAGGUUUAGUAAUAUUUUUUUUAAUCAUAUUUGAAUCUUCAAAAAUAAUUUCCUAUAUUUUUGUAAAUAUAUUGGGGUUGUUUCUUAAUAAUAAACAUUUGUAGCCCCUUUGUUACAAGAGUUUCAAUGACAUGUUUGUAUCUAUAUAUAUAGAUAAAGAUAUAUUCAUAUGCAUAAAAUAUUGUUUCUUGUGCAAGUGUAUUUUUACACAUCUGCCAACUUAAGUUGGUUUUAAGGGGUUUUUAGAAGAUUUUAAAUUUUUAUUGUGUAAGUUAUUUUCACUCAGUUGUCCAUACAUAUUAAUGAAACAUUUAACAUUCAGAAAAUUUGUAUGGUUCCUAAAAUUUAUGGCUUCAAAUUUAGAAGUGAAAUUCUUGCAAUCUUGCUGAAGAGUGUUUAAUGUUUAUUCUGAACCAUGAAUUUCAAAUUCUUGGAAGCCCAAUAAUUAGUUUAUAUAAUCUAAAAGAAUGUGAAAAGAAUCAAAACUUCAUAUGAAAGAAGAUGCUUGUGACUUAAGAAUCUUUAAAUAUUUUUCUAGUUAUGAAUUAUUUUGAAUAACCCUUAAAAUUAAAAAAUAUAAACAACAUUUAUCUAACAAUAAACAGUUCAAUGUAUAUUACUAAAAGCUCUCAGUUAUACCGUCUUUUAGAUUGCUUAAGCUCCCACCUUUUUACAAAAAAAAUCCAAAUCCACACCAAUAUAUCUCAUUCAUACCAACAUAUAUAUAUAUAUAUAUAUAUAUAUACAUAUUUCUGUCUACCCCAAAAAUUAAUUCUCCAAAAGACUAAUAGUUCUCACUACUUAAUCAAAAAUUUUGGAAUCAACUUUAUGCAAAAUCUGGGUAUCUUGUAUUGUUCUUUGUUCUGAUGAUUGAUAACUUCUGAUGAUUAUUAGUUUUUCUGCAACAUAUUGUAUUAAUUAGCAAAGGGACCCACUAACUAACUAACUAUAUAUAUUUGAUUAUCUAUUUUAGUUGGUUUUAUCCAAUUCUCAAAAUUAAAAAUAUGAAUACAACAUAUUUUGGAGAACGUGCAAGCAAGCAACUUAAAAUUGUACAUGCACUGCUUGAUACAUGUAAACAAUUCUAAGUAAUAAACUUGAAGAUUUAGCACAAACAUUUUUUUUCUCUCUAAAAGUAUUUAAUUUAAUUUAAUUUAUUUUAUAAGAAAGAUUGAUGAUACAAAUAAGGAAUUCAUGUCAAACUUAUUUCCUUCCUUCGUAAAUAUUGCAUAAUUUCUAUUUUGUCUCCUGUCAGUCCAACAAAAUACAUUAUAUUUAAGAACUCUAAUAUGUAGAACAUUCACAUAUUUGUCACAUGAAGCUGUGAAGUUGGUACAAAUUGCUACAUGUGUAGUAAAUGGUUGAUUGUAGAAAAAGAAAAUAACUUCUCAUUGCACACCAAAACAAGUAGGUUGUUAUUUUUUAAGUUGUUUAAGAUAAUGGUGUGAAUACUUUUAAAUAAUUAUCACUUGUUGAAGUAGGAAAUAAAUGCUUACUUGAACAGUGCAAGCAAAUUUGUUUUACUUGUGUACUUGUGCUAGUGGGGAGCAUGUUAAAUAAUGUGUGUUCUUAUUUGGCUCCUUCUCAUGAUAAAAUAUUGUUCAUGUGGCUAAACGUGUUUAAAUUUCACUUAUUGAACUACAUGAACUGCUUAUUAAAUAUACAUUACUUUUUUCCAUAGUUUGGAACAAACUGGCACAAAAUUAAAUAUCUGGGGAGACUUAAUUAGCAGUCACGAAUUCAUUUUCAAGGAAAUUAUGAUGUUUUAGGUCAUUUCUUAAAAUUUCCACACUGUAAUAUUCAGUUACAUAAAAAUGGUGUUUUGAAGCAACUAAAGCACAAAUGUACUUUUUAAACAUUAGUUAAUAAUUAUAAACUAUAGUAUGUCUUUAAAUGCACAUAAUCAGAUAUAAUUGAAGAUGAACACACUUUACUAUGUUGAAAUUUGACCGAUUUUUACAAUUAGACUGUGUGUACAUGUAUGUUCACUAGCUCUGUUUUGAAUGCUAGUUAAUUUUGGUUCAUUUAAAAUUGAGUAAUAAAAGUCACAUUUCCUGCAGUAUUUUUUAAAUUAACUUGCAAAAGACUAAAAAUCAUACCUGUUACAUGUAAUGAUUUUUUUUCUUAUCUGUGUGUGUGUGUGUGUGUAUAUAUAUAUAUAUAUAUAUAUAUCAUUAUAUUUAUUUAAGCAGACAUAUAGUUGACAAUUCUAAAUGCUUCCAUUUUUUUUCUUUUUUUUAAUAUAUCACAGUUGGAUAUAUAUAUAUAUAUAUAUAUAUAUAUAUAUGUAUAUAUGUAUGUAUAUAUAUAGUAAAUAUUAUUUAAAAAUCUUUCUCAAUCAAGAUAGAUUUCAGAAAACUUAAAUCAAAGUAACAACUUAUACUGUAAAAACCUAAUCAUAAACCUACAUUGUUUCAAAAUCUCAAAAAAUAGUUCAAAAAUAUUCUAUUCCAAUCUAAGUUAAUCUGAAUUAUUAAUAUCAACGACAUAUUUAUAUAUUUGACAGGAACAAUCCGAGAUAGUUUCAUUCUACAAUAUUUUGCCUCCGAGUGAUCAGAACGAAUGAGAAGAAAAAACAACCAUCCACAAGGGCGAUGAAGAAGAAAGCAUCCAUUGAACCGGGGUUGAUUUGAAUUCAAACAAACAUUCCCUAUUCCCGCGUUUUUCGCUCUCGUCCCGCCCACGCUCCGACCACCUUCCAUGCGUCACCUCGCAGCCCAUUCAUUCUCUGCCAACUUCGUAGCUUCUCUACUUCAUGUUCGCUUCGUCGCGAUGCAUCAUUGCUGUCAUGCUUGCGUAACAAGUUUCUUCCCACUUCGUUUCUUGUGCUACGAGUAGUGUCCAGUGCAGCGGGGCUGUUCCAUUUGUUUGCUGCGUCGGAUGGUGGACUCGCUUUAUCUAACGAGCGCGUAGUUUUUGUUCUGAAAGUCCAUUUCGAAUAUUUUCAUUUUGCGAUGCGUUGGUAGUCUGUGAAUUUAUUUUCUUAUGAGUAUCUUGACGAAUAAAGAUUGAGAUAAUUUUCUAGCCGUGCUUUUUAUGUCCAUGUUUCUGAAUGUUUUCAGACGAAUGGAGAGAUUUCUUGAAGAAACUCAGGUUUCUGAGAUUUUUUUAUGUGACAUUGAAGUGCCGGAGAUUGUUUUGUCGUGCAACCAUGGAAGAGGAUGUUGCAUUUGAGUUUCUUUGGUGAAGUACCGUUCGUGUUCAUUUAGCUUUCAUGAUCGGAAUCAGUCAAUUGGCCGCGGGCUCGCUUUGGAGCUUACAGAUAUUAGGAUCAUAAUAUAGUAGAUGAAGAUUUGUUUCGGCACUGGAGCUGUCGUGAUCUUUCCAGAGAUUGCAUUAGCGAGGUCUACUUACCAGGCCGUACUCAGAAUCCUCACAUGCUAUGUAUCUGACUGUACCCGCUAAUGUAGAAUAAGAUCUGAUGGACACUGCAGUCGCUUACGGAACCACAUUGAGAACCAGGAGGAUUGCCAACUUAUUCCAGGAUUGGUGCAAUUUAGCUUCUAUUCCAUCAUGGUUGAGUAACGAGUGGUAAAAGUGGCUCUAAUUUCAUGCAUGUCGCGCUUCCAGUCGCCCGCAGCUGCACCGCAGUGACAGGUUCUCAAGUUAGUGACCAACAGGUCUGGAGGAGGGGCAGCUGGUCAGACUUGUUUUGAUAUUCUCCUGUAUGUCUCCAUCCAAACGUAGCUAUGUAAUUCUAUAUUAAUCAAUUUUACCUCUCAAAGCUCCUAAAACCCAUGGUAAAUGCUGGGAAGCCUACAUUGGCACAAGCCUGGAAAGUCUGAUAGCGUCAUAUGAUCCAUGCCUGAGCUUCCGUUUCAGUGAACCAUGUUGGCUCUUGAGCAGUGUGCUAACACAAACAAUCGGUUACCUAGAAUUUUACGACUUACCUAGCAUGAAGUAACUUCGCUGGAUGGAGCCUUGGGAGAUCAUAUUUCCGUAUGGUGAUUCCCAUCAAGCCGUGCUCUUCUGUUCUGAUGGCUCUAGGUGUUGACUGGUUGAACUCUUACAUACUUUUUACACUUUUGAGGGAUAAUCUAGGGGUCUAAUGAUUCUGGAGUUCAUACUUUCUCCAUCUCUUGGCAGCGACAAUUGAAGAGAUGUUGAUAUAUAUAUAUAUAUAUAUAUAUAUAUGAUCAAGUCGUUUGGCAUCGCUGAUCACGAGUCCGCUAGCAUGAGGAUACUAUUUCAUUGUGGUGAAAGCCGUCAACAUAGACGUGAAGACAUUAAAUUCAGUUACUCUGUCGCAAGUACUGGUGUAAGACCAAGAGAAACAGACCAUCAGAAACUGUUGCUGGGUCGCUUGUGCGGCGAAAAUGAACGUCUUACAGAAAAUUCUCAGCUCCACUCUCAAGUGCAUAAGAAAUACAGUCCUUACGAUGCAAAUAGAAUGUUCCACGUUUUCAAAGUACUUACCCUCGUGAGCUGUUUUUAGAGAAAGAAAAGGAAAAUCAAGUGAAUUCGCGUGUCUGUGACGAUCUUCAAAUUACGUAAAUCUAAUUUAGUUGCUUGCCUCAAACCAAGGAGAUCAAUAUAAACUUAACCUUACAAAGCCUCACGAGCUGUUUCGCCUCAGUGAAGGCCUUGAGGUACACAUUAUGUAGUUGAGAUUUCAGUGGAGGAACAAAUGUGAUUGUAUGUUUGUUGUGCUAAAAUCGACAACAAACAUACAAUCAUAUAUUCAUUAAUUUGCGAUUGUGGUGUGUCAAAUGUGCUGGAAACAGAAGACAAGUGCUCCAGUAGCGAGUGGUGAUGCUCAGUUCUCUUUCUGCAGAGUCUAUUGAGGAAAAGUUAUCAAAGGAGUGGUUAGAGCAUGCGUCAGCUGAAGAUCCAGAGAUAAAGAAUCAAGCGCCACUAUCAACUCUUAGUCCUCAAAAUCCGGCUCCUCAAAUCGGUAUGUUCUGAAUAUAUUAUCCAACUGCAACACAUCAAGAUGGAGUGUUAAUGAGAAAUGGAAUACCUGAUGGAUAGGUGCAUCAUCAAUUUCUUUUAGGAGAUGUACUACUUAUUUUGUGAAUGCAGUUGUAACCAAUGCUGUGGUGGGCAAUCAGAGGGCAGGAUAGAUGAACAUUUAUCAUAGGGUGUGGUACUUCGGUGACAGAACUCAUCAGUAGCCUUAGGAACGUUGGUUUAUAAUUUUUGCAACUCCACAAGGUAAUUUAACACUACUACAUCAUGUGCACACUACAUUGUGAAGUUUGGAAUAUACUUGCACACUAUCCAACAGAAGGAGUACCGCACAAAACUCUAUUGAGACACUUAUUGAAACACUCAACUAUUUAAUUGAUUUAUUACCGAAUAUAUUUUUCUAGUGGACAUAGUUUAUGUGAACUAAACUAAAUUUCUUAUUUUUUAGUUUGGAAUGGAUUUUUGUAAACUAAAAAAGAGUUAAACUAAAAAUAAACGGUACAAUUUUGGACCGAAACAGAUUUGCUUGUGUAGGUUAUUAAUAUUUUGAAAACCAGUCUUUCUUAUAAUAUAUGUGUGUUUGUUUGAAAUUGGUAGAAACGGUUUAAUCAAUGCUCAUAAUUGUUGGUAAGAGAAUUUUAGUGCUUAAUAAAAAUAUUUGAUAUUUUCGAAUUUAACACAAUAAUUAUAUUGACAGUAGUAACAGCUACAAAGUGUAUGCGGUUUCAGCAUAUGCAUACAAGUUGAAUGCAAAUUAUCCAUGUACACCUUUCAAAAUACAAGAUAAUCAAUGUAUAAAAAUAUAAAAUAAUUAUAAUUAAUGAUAAUUAAAUUUUCAUCUUCAUUUUUUUAAACUGAGGUUCUAAUAUAUUUUUAAGAAAAGAAUAAUUUUAAAAUAUUUUGAAACCAUGUAAUGUCAUUAUAAAGAUAUUUAGGUAUAAGUUUAUUCAAAAAAACGAAAAGUUCCCUAUAAUCUUGUUGUUCUUUAUCAUGUUAUUUUAAGCCAGAUUAUCUAUUAUUUUAUAUAAAUGAAAUCUUAAUAAUGAUUUUUGAUCUAUCAGCAACUAUAAUACCAACUACCACAACUAUUUUUGUAAUUCAAAUGUAAUUUAAACAAUAGUUCUUGCCAUGUUAGUUGAACAUAUUCUUAGGUCAAGUCCGUUUUUUUGUCAAAGAUUAAUAAAAUAAAAAAUAAAAUACCAAUAUUGCUAAAUAAAUCAACACUUGUGACGAAGUUGGAAGUAUAAUUUCAAAUAAAAUGAUUUUUAAUACGAUCUUUGUUAAUACAUUUAUUAUACCUAAAAACUAAUGUUAUAAAAAUAAAAUAUAGAUUUUACAGUUUGAUUUACGAGUGAACUCAAAAAUGGGCCAUAUAGGCUAAGUUAUUACUUUAAUGUUUUUUCUCUCAAGCAUUACUGUUUAGAUUUUAUAAGUUAAUAUUUAGAGGUUUUAAUAAGUUUAAUCUUCACAUCUUAAGUUUUGAUUAAUUUGAUAUUUGCAAUUUGUAUUGCACUUAUGUUAUGUACACUUAUGACCAUUAUAUUAUUUGCUCAAAGAGAGAAUAGAUGUUUUUUCUUCAUGUUAUGUAAUGUAUGCAACAUGAAGUUAUGAUUGUAAGAGUAUGAUGACGUCAGCAUGUAUUAAAUUACGUCCUAGCAUCCAUAAAAGUAAGACAUUUUAAUUCAUUUUACUUUUUGUGUUCUUAUUUACAUUAUUUUGUAAAAAAAUCAUUGUUUUAGUUUUUUUGUACAAUGGCUAGUUUACAUUACACUACCUCAUAAUUAUUAAAUAAAUUCAUCUUGUUAUUUCACUUGCAAGUUUAUGUACUUUUUAUUAUAAUUGAUCAUAAAUAUGUUGUAUUAUUCACUGUGUAAUUGAUGUGAAAUAAUCAUAGUAAUCAUAAUUUAAAACAAAAUAAAGUUUUUAUGUUUGAAUUACUAAAUGCUAAUAAUCUCAACUUAUUUGCUGAUGAUGGAGCAUCAUAUCAGGUUACAAUAAGUUCAUAUUUAAAAUCUUAAUAACAAUGGUUUACUGGAAGUAAUUGACAUUGUUCGUUCAAACAUGCUGAAAGCCUUUCGAAUACGAAAAAAAGGCAUAAACAUCCAAUUCCAAUUCUGGUGGAUAUUUAAUUGUCUUUGCGUACAGAAAAAUACAUUGAUGUGUGUUGAAUUAUAGAAUUGUAAAAUGCGUUCACUACAGCAGAAUUAGCUAAAUUGAUUCAAUCUUAUUAUUACUCAACUUAAGAAUACCCUUAGAAAAAACCAUGAAAAAAAUCAAACAUAUAAAUAAACUCGUGGGAUUUAUCUGAAACCACUGAAGCUAACUGUGGGUACAUGCACAUGGUUUUCAGAUAGUUUUUACAAGAAUAUAAAAAUUUCUAACAUUCUCCUCUGCACAGGUUGAUUUGCACCUUGCUUAACACGAUUUGCUGCCAAAAAACAAAACCUAAUUCAAGUCAUGCAUAUCCUACACAAGAAAUGGGUUACGCAACAAAUUAACACUAGAUUUAACACGAACUUCGCAAUCAAAAACCUGAAUUUCCCUUGAACUAGCUUUUCAAAGAGGUUUCCUUGCAUGUCUGGUAUUGUGCAGGACAGAUACAUUGCUGAUGAGCAACGGCAGAAUCACAUAAACAAACUCUACACCACAAUUGCCGAUUAUGCUUGAAAGUCCACUUCCGAGAGUUUACUUACACUAACAGAGCAUUAAAAAAGUAAGUAUAUACCUCUGCAAUUUGAAAUCAGGAAAUGAGACUUGACCCUCCUCAAAGUCCUAUAUAACACUCUAAGAAUGGCUGUCUAGAGCACAUACCAGAACCGCUUAUGAUCUAUAGAAAAAAGGACCCGGAGAGGACUGCCCUCUUGUCCACUUGCUCCUCAAGGGAUAUCUGCGCUAUGAGGCCAUGCAGAAAUGCUUUGAAUAGUAGAAGUGAACCUGAGUAAAAUAUAAUGAUUCUGGAGAGGUACGCCGUUCUACAAUCACGAACAAGCUCGACUGCAUCCACAGAGACUCAGCAUCACUUCGAGGAACUGAAAUCACGCCAUGGCUGGAGCAGUAGAGCAGGUUUGAACAGAUCCAAGACGGAUCACUACUCAUCGGCAUUGCAGGGUUCAUCAUACAGAGCGUCUGAACAAUUGGGGGCUUCGUUCCAAGGGCCAGCGUCUGAGUUCUCGCAUCCGCCGAGACAGUUGCAGGAGCCUCCUAAAAACUCAGGGAGGUUCUCGCAGUCCACCAGCUCAAGCAGCCUCGAGGAGAAGUGCCCACCGUGGAGUUCAAUCUUUUUCUGGGUCCGCUUGUCCAGCCAUGGCUUAAUCACGGCCCACAUUGCCUUGAACGCAGUUGGAGCGUUGACGAUGAACAUCUUCCCCAAACACUCUGGGUAGUAGUCCUGAUCCACCUUGGUGAUUUUUUGAAUGAAGUGCCGCACCUGCUUGCUCAUGUGCUUCAUGUUCUGCAAUUGCAUAACAUUGCAUCACAUUGCACAGUUUGAAUCUCUACUUCGAAACUAACUGCAAAGACUGGAGAAGCGAACGAAGGCACAUGAAGAGGCGUACAAGCUGCAUGAGCAGGCAGCCUAGUUGGACCUGUUUAUGCAGCUUGUAUGCGUAGGAUGGAUCUUAUCCAUGUUAGGUGCCGUCCAAUUUGAGACGAAUAGUACGUGGUUGAGAGGACAUGUACUCAAAAACUGGGAUAAUGACUGGGCUACGAAGUCAAAUAAUUAAACAUAGACAUCAUAAGUGUGAAUCGGAAGGAAGACACUGGAGGACCAUACCACUCCUUUCAGAUCCAAAAUCGCAAGUGACUGGGAAACACAAGUGCCAGCCUUCUCAGAGCACGCCGGGAACUUCGAAUUUAGCAGAACCUCCCAUUCUUUCACGUGGUACAGCAACAUGCGGUCCAUAGUUGUAAGCUUGAGUAGUUCGUCCACAUUCAACUGGCCUAAUCUUUCAAUGUACACCGGCCGGCCGAGCUUAUCCGUCUUGUGGUGGAAAUGUGGAUAUAGGUCUCGUACAGCUUUUCUUUCUGGAAAUUCGAACGUCUGCGUUUACAAAAACUUUGUGUUUUAAUGUCGGGAUCCGGGACGCAAACGCCGGAACUGAAGCGUGAAUUCACUUACGAAGAUCCUCAGUGUAGGCUAAGCUAGCUCUACAAAAAUGUAUUAUAAGCAUCCAUACCUCUCGGAUGGUAUCAGCACCAAUUUCUGCUCUCCACUCCAGCAUAACCUCAAACAUUGCCUUCGCUUUGGGGAUAUCGAACCCACGGGCACGCAAGAAUCGUAACAAUGUGUGAUCAUCAUCUCGCUUCCUCAGAAGACCUUGCUCUGACAGUAUUUCUCGGAACUUUGUGAGUGUAUCAUGCUGUGACUGUGUCAAGCCACCUGACGCCUCAUUCAUUCUGUUCUCCUCUUCAUUGGAAAUAUCUCCACUCAUUUGCUUGAGUUUGCAGUGGCACAGAUCGUGCAACAUCUCGCAAGGAAAGAAAAAUAACAAAUACAGUGCACAAGGCAACUGACGAACACCUGAUCCUGAAGUAGGGCUUCACAACAAUAAAUGCAAGUGGACUCCAACAGACCUUCGCACAAGGAAUCUACGCCCUAGAGUUGCAACUUCCAUUCAUCACAGCAUCACUGUGAUGAACAAACUCCCACGCUCACACUGAACCAACAGUGUCGGAACAAAAAACUAAAAUAAAUCAGGCACUAGUAUCCUCAACUGUUUCUCAGGCCCUGAAUCCUCAAGGUACUCCCCAAAAUCAUCCUCUAAAGGAACAGUCCAAGAGCUUCUCCCAGAGGAAACACUGAACCCAGUUACACAAGCUUGAAGGCUUUCUCUCUAUCCCACCCACGUCCGCUACUUAGCUCACCACGCUCAUCAAACACUUCUCCCAGCUACUGACACAGCACCGCAGUAUAGAAGGCAAUGCGAGGGGAAAAGCCCAAAACUGCAACCCAAAAGGUUUCUUCCAGCUCCGAGGUGGCAGCAAUACGCUACCCCUCGCGCAAGACCCACACUCAUCGCUCUCAAAUUCCUUGCGCGCAAUGCAAUGCAGCCCCGGUGGUGAAUUCCACCCGACGAGAGUGAUCGGUCUCGAUGCCGCACGAGGCCACCUGCUGCAGGUAUCCCUGCAAAGCUCCCUCCCUCUCGUUCUCGCUCUGAAGGGAGAGACCGUGUGCGUGGGUGAAUCGUCGCCGCGACGCUGGCGAUGGGGAUGGAUCCCCGAGCCCUUAAACGGAGAUCGAGAUCGAGGGAUCGAAACAAACGCGUCGCGGGGGGCUGGGCGUGGCUUCCGAGGCCGCUGUGGAGAGUGAGAGGGACCACGGCGAUAUACACUGCUGCUGCUGGAGUCUUGGGAAUUGCUCUCGAUUUUCUGGAGGCGGUUACCGGUGCCCAAGUCUAGGUGCCUUUUAAAACGGGAAGUGAGGCCGCGGAUUUCGGAGACCAAGGAAGUGUAUGUUCUUCGAGUCGUCGUACACACUGUACCCUGUCCUCGCUCACCCACCUGGUGAGGUGGAUCUGAGACUCUAUUGCAACUCCACGUGUCUCUCUAUUAUAAUGGGUUUAUAAAAAUAAAAAAAUGAAUAAUAGAAUAAGAAGAACGAUUGGCUAACAUUUCCAUAAGAAAAUGUGCUAGUUUUCGUAGUCAAGGUCCAAAAUUUUAUUGUGAAUGUUUUUCACAAAAAAAACAUAUCAAAACUAAAUCAAAAUAAAUAUGAAAUACAUCUAGUUUAUCUUUCAUAGAAUAAAACCCAUCUUAUACUGCAGGAGUUUGUUGCAAAAAUAAAGUUUUGAUUUAAAUUUUGAUUAAAAAAAAUACUAAUCACAAACAAUAGAAUAUUACAAUCACUUUGGUAUGAUCUUUGAUGUUUAGAGAGAUAAGUGUAAAUAAGACAUAGUAAAUAAACUUAAGACUUUACGUGAUUAGCCUCACUCAAGAUGCUUUUGUUUGAGUCAUGCACAAAUGCUAUUAUCAUUGAAACGGAAGUGCUCGUCUAUUGAUUGCUAAAGUGAAUUUAGAAAAUAAAACGAAUAAAAGUCGUGUAUUACUUUUCUAGUCGAAAAAAUACUGCAUUUCGUCAGCGGCCAUAUGUAAAUUUACUAAAAAUCGUAAAUAGGUCUGAGUUGGUCAUCAUAAUUGUAGUAACAAUGUUAUUUUUUUCCUUAGAUCAAUGCAUGCCUUUAUAUCGAUAUCAGAAAACUUUGUCUAAAUAAAUCUAAUAACACGUGUUUUUGAACAAUCUUUGCAACAACAACAACAACAAAAAAAAAAAAAAAAAAAAAAAAUGUCUGCAUCUGAUUUGUAGCUGUCGUGUGUCGGUUUCACACCGGACUCUGAGUGCAAUUUUGAUUUGAUGUAAAAUUCCAAAAACUCUUACAAGAGUGCGAAUGAAGAGCGUCGAAACGACGGAGUAAUAGCUUACAUACAAAAGAGAAUUUUAAAAACUAUGAGCUCAACUCACCUAUGUUGAACCUUCGGGUGCGUGUGCACAGCUACUUCUAUGUCACAAAAAGCUCAGAAUUUGCUGAUUGUUGAUCUUGAUCACACAAGCCAUGGAACAGGAGGUCAGCACUUCAUACCUACUAACUGCUUCAAUUCCUUGAGUACAUGUUUCGGUUGAGCUUUGUAGCCUCUAUUUACAACCAUGUCCCUUCGAUGACCCGUACACUUUUCCUAAGGUCGAAUGUAUUUCUUCGUACAAGAGAAGUAAUGGAGGGGUGUCAAAUGGGUCCCUAAGACAAGUUUCAGGUUGAUUGUCAUAAAAUGGAAAAAUAAUGGCACCCUGGUGAUUUUGGGGAGGAAUGUACUAUUGUUUCGAUAGCUGGCCCUCUAGAUCAGCUCUUCGUCUGUGUAGUUCCUGAGGAAAUUUCAAGAAGACGAACAUAAGAACAAUAGAACAUUUACUGCAUAUUUAACGGAGUUUCGUUCAUGUAGCACAAUAACCGAACCUCUACGACAGCAAAAACUGUGAUUGUAAAACUUUGGUCUGAUAUCUCAUGGUGCAUGGUAGGUUAGAUUUAAUGAAAUAGAACCAAUUUCUCACAAUGAACCGAGACGAGAAAUUCAUAAGUCUCAAACCUCUAAUUCCGUCAUCAAAGUUGGUUUCCUUUAACAUACCUAACAGGCCCUCACACAAUAAAAAGAAUACAGUAGCAAGUGUUGAAUUCUUCUCACUAAUAGUAGGGAAGAAUUGGCUGCACCUCGAGAUCUUUCUGAGCUUUUUUACGCCAAUUCUGUCUCUUAAGAUGGUUCCGCUUGAUGCUGCCCAAACACAGAAAUCCCUGCAAUGGCGUCCAAGGUUUGUUAACAAGGCAACUUUUCAGCAUUACAAUAGCCAACCACAAGAAUAUGAAAUUCCUUAUUAGCUUACAAAACAUGCGUCUUUACAUUUUUCAGGUUACCAAAUCAGAGCGCGAACAUGGGAAAUAGGAUUCCAAGGCACUCACAGCUACAGUGUAAACAAUCCCACAGCCGAACAGCCACCAGCUAGCUAAUUCGUGAAGCAAGCUCUCGGCACCGGUCUCUCCACUUGAUCUUUUCAACACUCUCGUCAGAGCUGCGACACUGGACACUCGUAGAACUUGUCAGAUGCACCAAAAUAACACAACGUACCAACAACUAUCACUAUCGUUGUCAUUGUUAAACACGUAGCAAUUCAUAACUUCAUCCCAAACAUAAUUUUAACUACACUAAAGAGUUCUCUAAAACAGGAAACAUGCACAAUUUCAGCACUUACAGGAUCUGGAGAAGCCCGCGACCUAUCCAAAACUCCAACAUCUGCAGGAAAGAACGCCUUGUAUAAGAUUUCCUAAACAUCUCGCUAAACAAUGCACUCCAUGCAUUGAUUGGGGUUUUCUAUUUAUACAAGACAUACGAGUAUGAUCAUCACCAAGUUAAUCACCUCUGAACACUACAAUUAAGAAAACAUUUCCUUUCUUGGUGAACCAAAUUGCCCAGGUUUCAGAACAGAAAAUGCGUGCAACAUGAUUCAAUUGUCGACAUUUCGAAUGCAAAGAAAAACCGCUAAACACGCACCUUCCAGAAAUUGAAGAGGGCCUCCCACUCGGUCUCGGCCAGUAUAACUAAAAUGGCGAUGGCUAUCGUGUAGCAACGUAGGAUGCCAACAAAAACCUACAACACAGGAUGAUUGUCCAUCAAGGUAUACAAAAGCAGAUUACAUACAAACAACACUACGAACCCGGCAAAGAUUCGAGACGACUAUAAUUUCAUAUACAUUCAGAGAGCCAAGGCAUUCUGAAACAAAAAUUGCACAUGAUAAGGUUACAUUAUUCUGUGCGCAAAACUUAAAAACUAAUUCAGGAACUCUGGUUCGAUUAUUGCCCUUCGCUAUAGUGAGUGGCUCUACUCUAAUCUAGAUGAUUGUAGGCCAAGACCGUGAUUGUAGGUUUAGGGUUUUUAGAAGAGGCAUGAGAAUCGGACGGAUAUUAAGAAAAAAAAUAGAAUCACGAAGAAAUGAGACUGGAGGACAUACACUGACGCGGUAGUCGAAGCCGCGGUAAUCGAACGACCGGAAAAGAGAGAUAGCAUUAACGAGCAAACACAACAAGGCACCGACGGCAGUAACGAUGCUCAGAAUUCGGCACACAUACAGCAAGGGGUCUCCUUCCGGGGGCAAAGGCUCCAGCACGGGAGGCGGCAGCGGCGGAAUCUGCCCUUCAAUCGCCUGAUUGCUGCCAUAACGCUGACUCGGGUCACCCAACAGAGGCGCUUCUAAGUCCACAUGAUCGUGAGCAGGGGGAGCCGAAGGAACUGCGGGCUCUGCUGGUUCUACGGGCUCGACGGAGCUCCCGUGACCCUUCUCGUUAUUCCUUUCCCUCAAAUCCUCAAACAAAUCCACAGACUCACCCAUCCUUUAAUCCCUCCUUCCAGCUUCAACUCACAAUUUCCCCUCCCUCCGAAUAAAAACCCACACUUUCAACCUCUUCACAAACACUCCCACUACGUCGAAUCAAUCAAUUCGGGUUCCGCGGACGACGCGUCGAUCUCCGCAACGCAGGAACCUGGCUCUCGACAACCCACCCACCAACCCAAGACUAACAGCGUGGUUCCGAGCAGAUGUGGCAUCACACAUACACGCUACGGCACGAAAGCGUUCACAUGAGCACCGAAAUCAAACCCGCGCACAAACACAGUUCACUAAUAUAUUAUGUGGCACGCAACAAAUUACCGAUGGGGGUGCGAACAGGUUAAACAACGAAACAAACACUCAAAGAUUGCCUUCCAGAUGGCAGGCUCCGUGUCGCACCAGGUGGCGAUCUCGGCACAAUCGGGGCGAGCCAGGGAUCAGCAAAUUCCUGCCAAACUUGGAUGGAUAGAUGGAUGGAUGGAUGGAUGACGGAAACAAUUGGAAGAGGAUAAAAUGUGGGCCGCCCUCCCUCGGAAUCGAAUCGACUCAAUCCCAUUCAUUCCUUCCUUUCUUCGCUGCGACGAUGCGACGUCGACGUUGUUGCGGGGGGGGGACGAUGCGGAUGCGUCGCGUCGCUGCUGCUUCUGCUUCUUCUUCUUCUUCUUCUGCUUCGACGUAGUAGUAGUAGUGUCUCUCUAGCUCUCUCUCUUUCCCCUUAAAUCUCUUUCCCCUUAAAUGAAUUUCUUCGAUGUCCCAAGUAGUGGUAGUAGUGCUGCUGAUUGGGUUUAUUUAUUAGUAUGCUUUGUUUGUUUGCUUGUGUGUGUGUGGGAUGCUGAAUUCCCUUCUUUCUUUCUUCUGCUUCUUGGGUUUUGUUGUAUUUUGUGGCUCUUUUCCAGAAGAAAACGUGGUGUGACAUUUUCAUGGGAGAUCUAUCAAAUGCAAUAAACGCCCCCACUUUUCCCAUCGUCACAUGGUCUGAGAUCUCUCUCUCUCUAUCUCUCUCUCUCUCUUGCAGUUUUUGGUUUUUUUUUCUUCUAUAUAUAAACAAGAAUCAUGUUAAUAAAAUCAUGUUCAAGAUUGUUACAGACAUUGUUGUGAUUUUAUGUUUUUGUUGUUAGAGAAGGUCCAUUAGCACAUAAUUUCUAUUGUUUUUAGAAGGAAGUAGAUAGUUUGUUCCCAUUGAAAACAAUACAAAAAAUGUUUUUGGUAAGAAUUGAUGUAAUUAUUAUUUUGCAUUCAUAUAAAAUUACUUGUUGGAUUGUGUGGAUGAUAGUUAAAGACUUUUGUGCAAAGCAAAACAAAUUAAAUAUACCAUUUUCUCAAUGACAUAAGAUUUUGUUUCUUAGUUUGUUUUUUUUGUGUGUUUUUAAAAUAUUUUUGGUUUUAAGUUGUAUCAAAUAUUCUAAAACAAGAUUAAUAAAUGAUUUUUCUUUAACUAUCAUAUUUAAAAUAUAAUACAUGAUUACAAAGAAAAAAAUUAUAUAGUUAAAUAGUUUAUAAAAUAUAAUUGUAUUAAAAAAUUAUAUAUUUUUUAUUUAUUAAAUAAAGUAGUUGAUAAUUUUGUAAACAAUAAUAGAUACUUGUGUAUUUUUAUCAUGUAGUUAAUUAACAAAAAAGCUCUACUUUAUAUAAAUCUUAAUCAAAUUCAAACUUUAAAGAUUGCAUUACUAAAUAAUAUAAUAUGAUUUGAAUUACACACUCUAUAGUUGCCAUUAUUUGAACUUUUAGAUAUUUCUAUCGUGAUUAAAAACACACACACACACACACACACACACACAUAUAUAUAUAUAUAUAUAUAUAUAUAUAUUAUAAUUUUAUAAAUUUCUUUUAUGAAGAGUUUUUUAAGUAUUAAAAUUUAUAUGUAUCCUUGGCAUCUUUAGAUUAUACUUAGGAACUUUAACAUUAGAAGGUUUUUUUUAUUUUUAUUUUUAUUUUUUUUAAAAAUUAUUUUAACUAUAAUAAUAAAAUAAAAGAUAUACACAAGUUCUUAGCCAAAGUUGUAGUUUUAUGGUUUGAUAUAACCUCAAAUUUAUCAAAGUAUUACAAAUUUACAUAUAAAAUUGUAAAAAAAUACUAAACAAGUUUUGCAAUUCAAAUAUCAAAGGUUUAUUAGGUCAAUCAUGUUUAAAACAUAAAUUUAAUUUAUUUAAAUUAAUAAUAUUAAAAAAUUAAAUUAUUUACUUUAUUUUUUAAAAAUUAAUGAAUUAAUUUAAAAUUUUAGUAUAAAAGAAUUAUUCAAUUAUAAUAAAUUUACUAUUUUUAGUUACAGUCUUACAUAUAUAUAUAUAUAUAUAUAUAUAUUAAAAAUAGAAAAUUAUUUCAAUUUAAAAUUUAAAAUACCUGUUUUUAUACAACUAUUUAGAUGUGUAUCAUCAAACAAAGGACAUGCGACUAAAUUAGAUUAUUAUAAUAAUUAUUAUUAUUUUAAGUUCCAUAUAAGUGCUUUUGAAGCUUUGUCAAUUACAAUCUCCACAUUUGUUGCAAGUAUUAGGUUGUCCUUUACUCUUGGUUACUUUAAAAGAUGCAAUCUAUCCUUAUAAUCAAAAUCCUACUUUGAUUUGGUAGAAGUACUAAGAUACGGAUCAAAGAAAUAAUUAAGUCUAAAUGAUAUUUUUCUAGAUGAAAUUAUCAAAAUUUUAGGAUUUAAGAACUCAAUUUGAGUAUAAUUGGUACAUUGUAGUUUUUUCUUUUAUUUGAUUUAAAAACAUUGAUAUAUAUAUUUUGCUUCCUAAGCUUUGUUAAAAUAUUUUAAAUGAUUGAAAGUAGAUUUAUUGUCUACAAUUACAAUUUAAUCUUGCCAAUUUUUUAAGACUUCAAUUGGAUAGAACCAUAUCUACAAAGAUAAGAUUUUAUUUUCACAUUAAGUCAAGAAAAUUGAAAUAGCUUACAACCUAAGUUUCCAAAUUGAUCAAAAAAAGCAUGAAUAUGGAUUACAAUGAUUUUAGAUCUUGAAAAUAUACAUUAUUUUGUACUUUAUUCAAAUUUUUGAAGAUAAACUAAUAGAUACAAUUUUUGUUUUCUACACUUUCAAAAUAUAUUCCUAUCAAAAUAUCCUUACUAAUAUCAUUCACUUCUACAAUGGCCAUUUAUCUACAUAUUGACAACCUUCUAAAAUUUCUACUAAUUUGAAAAUUUUAUUAAAUUUUUUAAUACUCUCAAUGCAAUUAUUAUACAAGAAUAUACAAUUUUAUUUGUAAAUUUCACUACAUAUACAUAUAUUCUUUAAAACUAUAUUUUGUGUUUCAAUAAUAAAACAUAUUUGUAUGUUUCUUGACUAUGCUCUAAUACUAUAUUAUAAACUAAUUUACAUUAAUAAUUUGAUUAAUAAUAUUGCUCCCAAUACAAGACACUCCAUCCUAUUAGAAUUGAAGUGCAACAACAACAAUAUUAUAGAUACAUUAGCUAUAACAAAUCUUUCUAGCACACAGUAAUUGCAUAAAUAAUCCUCUCCCUUAUGGAAAAAAAAAAAAAGGGGGGGAAGAAGAAAAUCUAGCUCAAAAACGUGUAAUAAAAUUCUAGCCUUAAUCAGUAGAAGCCAAGAAGUAGAGAAUUGAAACAUCGAGCAUCAAUUAAUUGCCACAUGAUCUUCUCAAUCACCAAUCCAAGUAAAAGGUGUUUAUAAAAUGGAAUGAAGAAGCUGGCUACUCGGAGGCACUUCUCUCUGCACUUCGAAGGCUCAAAUUUAGCACUGCUCAACUCGGAAUAGAGAAUCUCUAUCCUUGAGGCAAGUGUUCAGACACCACUACAAAAGAAUAUUUUUUGAAAAAAUAAAAUUAAAUGAAAUAAAACUGCAUCUGUGAUGGUUUCUCUUUGAUCCCAGUUCCUGUCGAAAAAUAAAAAUAAAAAUAAAAACAAACAAACAAACAGCACGUGAACUGCAUUCGCAUCGGUGCACCUCAACGUGAGUUUCCACGAGCAGAAUCCAUCUUCAUUGAAUCCACUUCACCCGGCAUUCAGUAUAAACGCAGCAACGCUCACACACAGCAGCGUGCUUUCUAACACAUGCUGGAAUGAAUUGAGUGUCAAAGUUAUGCCUUUCCAUAACCAUCACGAGAAGCACCCGGUCCAUAUAUACAUACACAGUGCUUUCAAAUCACGCAACACUUGCAGAAACCAACACAAGCUAAGCCACACUCACCCCACCGACUCCAGUGCAGAGGCCUACCACAUCUCUUCAUGGCACACAUGCCCUCUAAUCACAGACUAUCGGCAUCACAGAGGACGGGGGGGAGGGGGGACCUCGUGAUGAUCGUGUGACGAUCUCCUGCACAAAACCAGAACUGUGACUCAGUAUUGAAUGCUCUUCAUGUAAUUUGGGUUGGUGAUAGGCUGAUUGUUGGAGUCGUGGGUGCGGAAGUUGGCAGGGUAGGAUUGGCUGGGUCUGUAAUCGCUGUAAUAGUUGUCCUUGGGCUGAUAUCCACUCUCAGGUUCGUAGUAGCUCCCUCCUCCAUAUGAGCUCCGAGGGUCCAAUCCUCCGUAUGAACUCCGAGGAUCCAUUCCCCCGUAUGAGCCCUGGGGAUCAUAUGAACCUCGAGGGUCCGUGUAAAUUCCUCUGGGAUUCAUCAAAGAUUGAAAUCCUCCGUAAUCGUAGCUGCGGGGAUGGAAUACUACGGGGUAUUCUGGUUCCUUGUUGUUUUGAUUGUUGUUGCCGCUGCCUCCUCCUCCUCCUCCUCCUCCUCCACCUUUACCCUUUCCUUCACCAGCAGCGGCAGCACCCCCAGCAGUGCCCCCUCCACCUCCACCUGUACCCCCACCUUCAUUCUUAUUCUGAUUGUUGUUGCCUCCUCCGCCGCCACUGCCUACAUUAGCCUUAGCCUUCCCUUCACCACCGCCCUUAUCUCCACCUUCUUUAUUCUUGUUCUGAUCGUUGUUAUUGCCACCAGCUCCACCUCCUUUACCUUUAGCCUUCCCUUCACCACCUUCACCUCCUUUGCCAUUGCUCUGUUGAUUGUUGCCACCCCCGUCUUCACCCUUUUUCUUGCCACCUUCUCCCUUGUUGCCACCUUUCUCUCCAUCACCCCCUUUCUCUGCCUUUCCUUGCUUCUGUCCCUUCUCUGAUCCUUUAUCACCACCCUUCUCUGCUUUCCCACCUUUGCCACCGCCACUACCACCAGGCUCUUUCUUUGUUUCUACAGUCCAGUUGGACGCCUUCUUGUCAACAUUCUUCUUAAAUUUCUUCAACAAAGCUGCGGGAUCGACAUACCCAACCACAGUGACUUUGCUGUUGCCACGGUCGAUGCUCACGGAUUGCACACCUGCACCAUGUAAAACUAUUUCCCUAGUGAGCGCAAGUAGAACCUUCAAACAGAGAUCACGAUGUCUUCUAAUAAAAUAGACUAACCCACUGAGUCUGAGACAAGACUCGCGACUGUUAGCUCCAUGUAAACACUAACAAAAUAGACUUCGAUCAGUUUCACAACAAAGUGCACUUCAAGGUUAUGGUGCGUGUUGCUUGUACCAACAGUAGGAAGAGAGAUAUUCGAGGUAAAGAAAGAAAGAAAACUUGCCAGAGGCGUAUUGAGCUUCUUCCAUAACUUUCUCCUCACACUUCGGGCAGCACAUCUUCACUCUGAACUCAUGUUUCUACAGCCAAGCAAAGCACCAACGAUUCCGCCAAAAUAUGGCAAGAACGGAGUGACGGUGAAUUCACAAUGUUUCGAAGAAAAUAAAGCCGCCGAAAUGCUUCACAAACCAUCCACAAAACAAAUCAUCCUCUCUGUGUCAUUAGACCAAAUCUAAAGGUAGACGCGAGUUGUAUUACUUACAGGCACUGCAGGUGCCUUGGGUUUAUUGUCUUUCAGCUCGACUUUGUUGCUGUCAUUUUUCUCACCACCACCUCCUCCUUUCGCACCUCCUUCACCACCACCUCCACCUCCGCCACCUCCUUUCCCUUUCUUUACCUUCCCAUCAUCAUUCUCGGCGAUCCAUUCAGGAUCAUUUUUCUUGUUCAUAACCUGAUCGAAUCGUUCUAAAAGUCAAUUAAAACUGGAACCAAAGCAUAUAUAUAUAUAUAUAUAUAUAUAUGCAUUCACACAGAGCACUCACUAUGCUAUCGUCUCGAGCUAAAAUAUAAACUCAUCUUACCGUCCAAAAUGAAAAGAAAAAAAAAACAAAGCGGGAAGUUCUCUUUCAAAACGAAGCACAUUCAGACAAAAGAAAUUUUGAUCCCUCAUUGUGUCCAAGACCACACUAAGAUUCGAAGCUUCAACUUACUGCAAAAGGUCCCUUGUCCAUGGAGAGACUGAGACAGCGGCGCAUUACACACAAAACCGAAAACAGAAUCAAAUCCGCAACAUCAACAAAUGUCCAAAUAUGUCAUGGUUGACAACAUACCUCGUUCAUGGAGGCCAUCUCAAAACAAACAAGUCCACGCCCGCAAGGAUCUGAACCCCCGUUUGCUUCCCACCGCGACCCAAACCUACAACAACUUCACCGCCUCACCAGGAACAACAUCCCUUAGCGAUUGAUGACUCCCCUUCGCGAACCCACCGGGCUUAUAAGCUUAUUUAUUAUCAACGAAACAGCCACAACUGGAAGUCGCAAGGAAUCCGAAUACGAUNNNNNNNNNNNNNNNNNNNNNNNNNNNNNNNNNNNNNNNNNNNNNNNNNNNNNNNNNNNNNNNNNNNNNNNNNNNNNNNNNNNNNNNNNNNNNNNNNNNNGUUAAAAAAAAAAAAGAAAGAAAAAAAGACGCACACAAACACACACACGGUUACAAGGAUACCAACACAAGCAGUUGAGAAAAGGUUUUUUUUUUUUUUUUUUUUUUUUUUUUUUUUUAUAUUAUUUUUAUUGAUUUUUUUCAUUUGCAUUUGCAGCAAGGAGCCUCUUCGCAAUGUAAGAAUCCGUGGCCACUUUCGAGGAAGAGGCGAAGAGAGGGAGCCUGAUCUCUGCUUCUUCUUCUUCUUCUGCUUCACUGCGGAGAGUCAAACGUGACGCCCUGUUGGACGGGCCACAGUCUUCUCAUCCGCGUGUUCCUUCUUCAUCUAGACUUUCGCAGCAAGGUUCGGUACACACACACACACACUGACACACACCCAACUCAUCACACCACAGUUGCUCUAUUCUUCCACUGACUACUACACCACUACUACGACUACGACUACUACACCCCUUCAAAAUGUUAUCACUGACUAAAUGAAAUGAAACGAAACCUCGUUGACGAAGGUUCCUUCCUUCCUGACAGACAGACACACAGAAUUGGCGAUGACACACUUUCAGGAAGAAAGGAACGGAAGCAACAAACGAACGAACGAACUUACUAACGAAUAAUUAUUUAUUUAUUAAUUUAUUUAUUUUGUUCUAGUAUUUUGUUUUGUUUUGUUUGUUUUUUUUUUUUUUUUUUGGUUGGCAUGGCUGGCUAACUGAGGUGGGGAUGAUGAUGAGAUUGAGAGUGAGGGUAGUGGUCCUGAUUAUGGUAACCCACCUCCCUACAAAGCUCAAUGGUGGUGGUGGUGAUGGUUGUGAGUGAAUCAGUCAACUAGAAAACAAAUACGCCUCUCGCUGCAAAUUGGCACCUACUCUGAUUGCGAUUGCAGCGUGGCCAGUACGUUAAUACGGUUAUUUCGGUCCUUCCAGAUUUGGCUGCUAAUUCAGUUUUAGUUUUUAGUUUUUUAGUUUUUUUAGUGUUUUUUUUUUUUUUUUUUUUUUUUUUUUCCACUGGUGCACCAUCGCUUGGAUCAGUACUCUGUCUGUCUUCUCUCUCUUUCUUUUUAUAUGAGUGCGUAAGAGAAAAGGAAAUCGUGAUGUUGAAUGCAACGUUGUCAGUCUCUCCUGGAUGGGUGUGUGUGUAUGUUUUAUGUUUUUUAUACAGAAAUAAGGCCUUCGAUGGAUCCUUCGUCUUGUCGGAUGAAUCUGUGUUGUUGCCAUUCUUGCAAAACAUUCGAUAGGAUUGAUGCUACCCGAUCCGUUUCCUUUGACUUGCUUCACAGCGUUUGGUAUCCUUCUUCUUCUUCUGCUUCACCAUUGAUUGAUUGAUUUUAUAGCGGCCUUAUUUGCUUCUCGCCAGUCACAUUUCAAAUCAUUCAGUAAGGAUGAAUCUUACUAUCAUAAUUUCACCGGAUAAAACUUAUUAUUACAAUUAAUUAAUUAAGACCUUUUAUUUAUAUAUAUAUAUAUAUAUAUAUAUAUAUUCUAAUAGACGAUCGAAAAAGGCCACCGAGGCUUGCUGCGCUGCAAAAUUAUUGUUGCGAAAAUUCAUUACCUACGAGAGACUUACUUCAGACUACUGUAUACACACACACACAAUACUCACAUCCUAUUCAACGUUUCCUGUGAAGGCAAUUCCGAUUAUCUUAUCUUAAAUGAAGAAAGAUUAUCAAGAACAGCAAAAUGUGAUGUGGUACCCAUCUGGAUGAGAAACAAAGUGUAUGAAUCCGCAUGAUAGGUUGGAUCAAUUCUUUGCAUUUAUUUAUUUAUUUGUUGUUUUUAUUGGCUUUAAUUUUAUCCAUCUUACAACCAUUAGGUCUUGAUUGACUGACCCAAGUUGAAGAUUCAUAUUGAUUCUUAACAUGUUGGAGAGAAUGUUGGAGGAGAGCAAACAUGGAAGAAUCCAUUUUUUAUGUUUUUUUUUUGCAUUUCCUUUGCUUACUUAAAUAGCCUCUUUUUGCUGAGAAUGUUUGGAGACACAAGAGUAGCUCAAAAUAAUGUGCACACACACAUAAGAGAGUGUGUAGAAUGAGAGAGAGCUUUUUAUCAAUGAAUUAAUGUAGUUGUCUCUUGUAUACAAAGAAAAUGGAAGAAAAUAAAUAGUUUCUCCUUACUACAUUCCAAAAAUUGUAGCUACAAUAUUUAUUGUAAACUUUAGUAAAUAUUAUGGAGAGCAACAACUAUAUUUAAUGCUCUCAACACUCCUCUUUGUUGUCAAAUUUAGUAUAUUCUUACUUGAGAAUGUAUCAGGUACCUAGUUGUGGAAGAUAAGUAAUAAUGCAAGAAAAAUUUUACCAAGUCUAAUAGAGCAUUAAAUAAGCUUCAAGUAAUUCUUAAUAAUCCAAUCAAACUUUAACUUAUUAAAAUAAAUUUAAAAGAAGUCACAAAAUAAAUAUAAAGAAUCCUAAAGAAAUAUUAAAAGUAAAAAUCUUUAUAUAAUCCUAAUUGAAACCCUAAUUAAAUUUUAAUCAAAUCCUAGGUCAAACCUAAUAAAAUCCUAAUGAAAUCUCAAAUCUUGGACAAAUCCUAGACAAGUUCUAAAUCAAAUCCUGAUCAAAUCUUAAUUCCAACCAAAUUCUAGACCAAAUCUUAAAUCAAAUCCUGAACCAAACUCUUAUCAAAUCUUAGAUCUUAAACAAACUCUUAACAAAUCUUAUAGCAAAAUGGAACCUCAACAAUUGAUGAUCAAAUUAUUGAUAUCAACUCAAAAUUUGUACACUUCUUAAUGUCUUGGUUAGAAACAAGCAUAAAAAAGAUGAAAUCAAUUGCACAUAUCAAUUGAAAGAAAUGCAAGAUAAUCCAAUCAAAUAUUGAGCAGUCUCCUACUCCAACUUAAAUACCAAACUUCUUAUGCCAAUAUCUUCUUCUUGAAUAAUUAAAUUUCUUUCAAAUCUCACUUAAACAUUAGAAAUCAAGUCUAGUAUCUAUAUGAAAAAAUUUCACUUCAAUCCAAUUGAUAGAUUGCUCACAAUCUAAAAAAUAUUCAGUGACCUUCAAACUCCAAUUUUUGAGACUUCAACCUAUAAAGUCCUUUAUAUACUUCAAUCUAAUCAUUUGAUUGACCUCAAAAUUUGCAUACAAAUUUAUAACUAGCAGAUCAACACAUUGCCUAAAUUUUAUUUGUACACAGACCAUAAAACUCAAGAAACCCUCAAAUUUGUAAAUAUAUUAUUAUUUUUUAAACUCUAAUUCCACCAAGAAUAUUACUAACUUUAAAAAUCUUUGAAAAUUUCAAUAUUAAUUCAAUUGACACAAAAUCAAUGCCUAAAAAUAUUUUCUCAAGUUUUCUUUCAAAUUCUAUUCUUUAAUCUACUAAAGAAUCUUAGAUUUAUUAUAGGUUUUGUGCCUCAAGGUUUGAUUUCAAUGAAGGCUGAGAACUUGUCCUCUUUGGAUAUUAAUUCUUGGAUUCUUGAAGUAAAUUUUGCUAAAAUCUAUUCUUAAUUCUCUCUUAUACAUACCUAUAUUAUUUAAUUUUUUAAUCUACUUUGUUUUGCCUUAUUUAUGGCCAUACAAAGUAAAUAGAAGUCUAUUUUAUAAAAGAAUAGCAUUAGCACUUUUUAAUUUUACUAUCUUUUUGACUAUUAUCUAUAUUUUUAAGAUAAUUUUUUAUAAUAUUUUAAAAUAAAAUAUUCUAUAAUAUAAUAUUUUUUUUCUUUCUUUCAUUCAUUAACCAUAUUACAUCAUGAGAUUGCUCGUCAUAAUAUUUGUAUAACAUAAAAUAUGCAUAGAAUUAUGAUCUAUACUUUUCUAUAAACUUGCAAGAUAAACAACAUCUGCCUCAUUAAAACCUUAUGUAAGAAAACCAUAUUGUAUUCAAGGACAAAACCAUAGAUGAAAGAAAUAGAGUACAACAUCAUUUUUCUUAAUUAUUUAAAAAACACAUCAAUUUUUUUGCUCAAAAAAACCAAGUCACCGCAUGCCAAUGCCAUUAGUAAGUUAGAAAUGGUUAUACAAAGGGAGAACUUUGGUGAAGAGAUCAAUAAGGUUAUUUGCAUAUUCAAUUUUUUUGAACUUAAAUAUUUGAUUAGUAACCAAAUCAUGCAUAUAAUUAAAAUACUUUGGAUCAAUAUUCUUUGUCAUGUUACCUUUAAUGAAACCAACUUACAUUUGUGCAAUACAAGAGCAAUUUUUUUGAUACAAGAUAGUUGGAAAAACACCAUAUAAAAUUCCAUAGGUUGUUUGAAUGAUUUUAUCAAUUAAUUGCAAUAAAAUAUAUUUCUAAGAUGCUUUACAUAAAGUAAUAAUUUUUGCAUAGUUGGAUGAAGUUACAAUUAUAAUUUGUUUCACUGAUUUCCAUGAUAUUGCAGCUCUAUGUAUUGAAAAUACAUAACUUAGUUGAGAUUUAGCUAUUGCAAUAUCAAAUUUAUAUCUUGUAUUAUAAUAUCCAAUCAAUUUUGGAUCUGCAAAUUGUAUGUAGUAUGAUCUCAAGUCUUUAGUGCCUUUUAAAUAACAUAAUAAAUAUUUAAUGUCAUUUCAAUGUUAUAGUACUUGACAUAUAUUGUAUCUUGCAAGAAUACUAAUUAUAAAUAUAAUAUCUAAUCUUGUAGAUGUGGCUAAAUAUAAAAGUGCUCUAACCACUACAAAGUAUAGAUACUGAUCUUGUAAUAUUUCCUCUUCCUCUUUGUAUGGACAAUAUGGAUCAUCACUAUUGUGACUAUAUCCAACCAUUGGUUUUAAUAAUAGAUAAGCAUCAAUCAUAUUGAAUCUCUACAAGGUUCAUCUAAUAUACGUUAAUUGAUAGAAAAAAAUGCCACCAUGUGUGACAUGCAUAAUUUGAAGACUAAUACAGAAAGUUAUUUUUUCUAGCAUUUUCAUCUCAAACUCAUGGAUAAGUAGGUUAGUAGUUGCAAUGCAUUCAGAUCUAAUAUCUACUAGGUUAAGAAUAUCAACAUAUACAACAAUGAUCACAAAACUAAUUUUAUUUCAUAUGAUAAACAAACAAGGAAUUAAUGGAUCACUUACAAACUUAUUUGUAAUUAAAUAAUCUCAAAGAUAUUGAUACUAUAUACAUCUAAAUUAUUUUAGACCAUACAAGGCCUUGUGUAAUUUAAUACCCUAAUAUUGUUUUAGAAGAGAUCCAUUUGGAAUUCAUGUUUUCAAAUAAGAUAGAAUUUUUAUGUAAAUAUUUGCAUCAACAAAACCAUAUAGAUACAUAAUUAUCACAUCCAUGAGACACAUCUUAAGGAUAGCAUGAAUUACUAUUCUGAUAAUAUAUCGAAAUGUAAUUGAAUCCAUGAUUUGAAAAUAUGUGGAUUCAUAAUCAAUACCAAACCAUUGAAUAAAUCCUUAGGCAAAAAAACAAGCUUUAUCGUAGAUUAUUUAUUCCUUAGCAUUUUCUUGUAUAUCAAUACCAUCUUAUAUUCCAUAGAGUAAGAUGUAAAAAUAUCUAUAAUUCAACCAAUGACUUUCUUCUUACACAAAGAGGCAUAUUCUUCCUUGAUAGCAAUUUUUUUAUUUUAAUCAAUUAGAGCAAUGCAUUGUUUCCUUGAUGGUUUGAGAUUUAGAAUCCUCUUUCUUGUAAAAAAGAGCUUCUACAAUCAUGCAUGCAAAUAAUUCAUCUAUUGUAAUAGAUGGUCUAUCCUAAAUAUUAUUUGUAGUAUAAUAUAAAACAAAUAAUUCUAUACUUAAUUUAGUUUUAUUUCUUCUAAUUUCAAGAUUUUCUAUUGCAUGAAGUAAAGAUAUAAUUUAUAUGGACAUCAUUAAUUAAUGGUCCCAUAGGUUUAAUAGGAACUUUUACAAAAUAAUACUGGAAUCAAUAAAUGUUAUGGCCUUCUUCUUUUGUGGUUUAUUUGGUCUAUGAAUCCUUUUAGUUUUUGAUGUUAUAACUGAAAGUAUAUUAAUUAAUGAUAUUGCAAUCUAAGUAGGUGCAUUUUUAGCCUCAUUAAUGGAAACUCUUAUAAUUUGAGAUACAUCAUUGAAGCCAUCAAAUAUUUUAUUUGUGAUCCAGCUUAGAUACAAAAUCUUGGCAACUUUAAUUUUAGCCAAAGAUGUUCUAAGAUUAGGAUUUAUUAUAAACAUUUUUAGUCUUCAAAAUAUAAAUAUUCUAUUUUUUAUUGAUUAUAUAAUUUUUUUUAAGAAUUAAAAAUUUAUUUUCUUCAAAAUAGAAAUUUUAAAAACAUGCACAUAAUAAUGUAUCUGUUUAUGGAUCAACAAUAUGAAUUAUACUUGGUGAAUCAAAACCAACAUAUAUGCCCUCUUGUCGAUGAGCUCUAACGGUAUGCCAUUGAGGUUUUGAUAUUGGAAUCUAAGUAUAGCAAUCAAAUAUCCAUAAGUGAGAUAUAUUAAGAAUAUGACUUAAAAUGAGUUCUUGUGGUAUAAUAAUUUUAAAAAAAGAAAGACAAAUGCAUAUUAAUGCUAUAGCAUGUAAAAUUACAUGAUUUCACAUAAAUAUAGAAAAAUUUUCUUGAAGAAGGAGUGGUUGAGUAAUGAGUUGUAUAGACUUUAUAAAUGACUUUGCAAGUCUAUUUUGAAUAUAUUCAUAUAAAAUAUAAUAUGUCAACUCAAUUCUUGUUAUAAUACAAUAGUUUUAAAAAGACUUUGAUGCAAAUUCUUUUUUAUUAUUUAUAUGCAAUAUUUUGAUAGGAUAAUUAGGAAAAAUUACUCAAAAACAAAUAAGCAUAAUUAUAAGAUUAGCAAACAACAUAUUUAGAUUCAUAAUAAUGAAACAUGUGAUUGUAUGCCUAAUGCAUCAAUAAAGAUGAAAAAACAACGAAAUAGUUUAAAUAUUGGAUUGAUAGGACCAAAAAUAUUACCAUACAAGCUUUCAAGCAUUAGUGGUAACUCUUAAAGGAGUAUCCAAAUCGCACAAUUGUCUUACCUUGCUUACAUAUAUCACAUAAUUCCAUAGCAUUUGUAUCUGCAAGUCUUAAACUAUAUCCAGUUAUACUUAAAAUUAUCUUCUUAAAUAACAUAGAUCUUGGAUGUUUCAAUCAUCUAUGCCAAAGACAAAUGCAAGUCUUUCUAAUAGAUGAUGCAAAAUUAAAUAUAAUGGAGGUCAAAUUGCAAUCCAAUAUAAACCAUUUGUUACAGUAAAGUCUUUUUUUAACAACUUUAUAGUUGUAUGUAAGAACUAAAACUUCCUGCCUAUUUAGAAUGGCAAUUUAGAUGUGAUAACUAUUGACAUGCACAUCUUGGUAGGUAAUUAGACUUUGAGGUAUUGAUAGGUGCAAACAUUGUAUGUUUACAUUUAAUGAUGGAGUUUGCAUGCAACUUUUCUAUCAUUGUUUUCUCUUGGAAACGAAAUGCAUUUGUUCUAGCCAUAGUGAUCAAAUUUUUAGUUUACUAAGUUAAAGAUUUUUCAAUAAAAAAUUAUCUAUCCCACAUGAUAGUAUGUGUUGUUGCAAAAUUAAUGAGUACAUCAUUUGAUUCAUCAUUAGAAGUUUUAUUAUUUAUAUAAGCUUCUAAAUUAUCAACACUAAUUAAAUCCAUGGUAUGAACCUCACAAGCCUCAGCUCAAAGUUUCUUAUUUUUUUGGAAUAUUUUAAUAAAAUAUUUUGAAGUACGGCAUGCAUGUACUAAAUAUCCAAUCAUCCUACAUUUAUGGCAAGAAUGCAUCUCUAAUUAUUUUUUUCAUUGUGAUUAGUAGUAUAAUACUUAUUCUUUUUAUACAGGCAAAAAUAAUCAUAACCAUAACUGCCUUGGUACUUAUGAACAUCUUUGCUAUAUUUAUAUAAUUUUUUCUUAGACUUUAAAAUAUUAAGUAUAUAAAAUUUUCGAACCAUGGUUCCAAUAGAACAAGCUUCUAUAUUACACAAGAGUAGCUCAUUUUGUUUCUCCACAAGAAGUAGAUAGGACAUGACAUCAAGAUGACUCUAAAAUUCUAUGCUCUUAUAUUGAUGUGUAAAUAUAGCAAAUGUAAUAGGAAAUAUAGAGAGAAUUUUUUCAAUCAUUUCUUCUUCACAGAUGCUUCAUCAACACAAUUGUAAUUGUGAGACAAUACAAUAUAUUUUACACUUAAAAGUAUUUAAAUUUAGAAAAUCCAAGACAUGUAAAUAUAUCCAAUCAUGAUGUGCAUACAAAAGAAAAAUGAUCUUUUAAUGAUUAAACCUAGAAUAAGAUUCUUCUAAAGCUUGGUUGAAUCUUCCAUUUUCGCAUAUUGAUGUUGUAAUAUAAGUAUAAGGUGAUGAAAAAAAAAAUACUUUCCAAUAUAUAGUAAGAAAAAUAAAAGUACUUAUUAUAGGAAAUUCUUCAAAUAAAAUUACUUCUAAGAUUUUUUUUGUAAAUAAAUUUGAUUUUGUUAUUUUUUUUAUAAUAAAUAAUUAUUUCCAUCAAUAAUUAAUCAUAGUAUCAUGAAUUUAGAAUACUGACUGGAAAUCUAAAUAAGAAGCUCAAGAAGAAUCUGCAAGAACUAGAUUAAUCAGAUGAGUACAAGAACAAUACUAAAAAGAUGAGUUAGAGCUCCAAAAGAUGUGUUGUUGAGAGUGAGGAUCCUCUCAGUCUCGGCUCCUAUAUAUAUUACAAGCUAGGAAGCUUCUCAAGUAGCUUCCACAAACUAGGAAGCUUUUCAAGCAGCUUCUACGAGUUAAGAAGCUUCUCAAGCAGCUUCCAUAAGCUAAGAAGCUUGAAAAUUUGUUGCAUAGUGUCUGUAAUAUACUCAAAUUAUUUUUUGCGCAAUACGUAGUUCAUUGGUCCUUGUAACCAACGAUAGUAUCUUAUGCCUUCAAUUUCCGACCAAGAAUAAACUUCCGUGUCUUCAUUAAGAAAAUGCCCUGCAAACACUCCUUCGAGAAGAUCACCGUAGGCAAGUUUUACCUCAAACACAAUCACUAGCAACAUGUUACUAGGUAUCUUCCGUUGUCUUCAUGGUAUAGGCAGUUCUUCAUCUCGGAGUCGUCUUCUUGAGAUACUUGGUUGAGAAGACAUGAUUGGUAUGGUAUCUAUCUCUUGGCUAUCCAUAUCAGACCGAAAAAUAUAAGCAUUAAACAUAGAAGAAUGGGCUCAGGUUACAGAUUUUUAGUCUCUAACUAUGUCUUUUAGAGGUUCCUUCUCUCCCUUCUUUGUAAAGUCGAGGAUUAAGAGACUUCAAGGAGAAAGAACUUUACUAAAAAAACUUUCAUCGAAAGGGCUUAGGUUUCUAAGGAUAGCAUCGAUGAAACACAUGUACCUUUUGCGAUGCAUUGAUAAGAUUUUUCGAUGAUUCCCAUGUGCGCUCAUUGAUAUCAUAGCUGCUCCAAUGCACUAGGUACUCCAAUUUCUUCCACUCAUGGUAUGAAUCUAGUACCUUUUCUACCUCAUAAUCCUCGUGGUUCUCAAUUUCAAUACUAGGUGGUGGACAUUGUACUCUUUCAGGAAAAGAUGACUCUCGAUAAGGCUCCAACAAAAAAACAUGAAAGACUAGGUGUACCUUCAUAGCAGCCGGUAACCCUAGUCGAUACGCCUCUAGAUUGAUUUGCUUUUAGAUGAUAAAUGGUCCCGAUCUCCAGUAGUCCAACUUAUCACAUGGUCGCUUGGUUUUGAUAUUCCGUUGAAGCAGCUAUACUUAAUCUCCAAUUUUGAAAGUAGAUACCUAAUUUCAAAAUUUAUUUGCGGACGCUUUGUAAAUUUCUUGGGCAGUUUGUAAUUGAAGCUUCAAUGUAGUUUGAAGCUCCGAUAGUUAUUUCAUAAAUCCUUCAGCUAUCGGGUUAUUAUUAGUUAACAGACUUAAUAAAUCAAGCUUCGGAUGAUACCCAUAGUUGAAAAAGAAUGGUAUUUUUUAAGUCGAUGCAUGAAGAGUGUUGUUAUAUACAAACUUAGCUAACGAUAGAUAUGUAGUUCAAUCAUCUUGCUAAUAAUUGAUGUUGCAUCGUAAAUACUGCUCCAAAUUUUGAUUCAUCUGUUUUGUUUGGCCGUGAGUUUGAGGAUAGAAAGGCGAAGAAAGCUUGAUAUCCACCUUCAAUAUCUCAAAGAAAGAUGUCUAAAACUUUGAUACGAAUUGGGUUCCUCGAUCUGACACAAUAUCAUCUGAUAAACCAUGAUAUCGAUACACACUAUCAAGGAAGAGCCUUGUUGUGUCUUUGCUUGACGAUGUUUUCUUACAAGGGACAAAGUAUGCCAUCUUUGUAAGCCAAUCUACCACAACAAAGAUGUUGUCAAAUGAAUUUGAUGGCGGUUGGUCCAUAAUGAAGUCCAUGGAAAGUGAAGACCAUGGCCGACGUAGAAUAAGCAAUGGUUGAAGAAGAUCAUAAGGAUGAUGUCGAGGGUUCUUAGAUCUUCAACAAAUGUCACAAGAGAGGACAAAAUCCUUGACAUCCUUCCACAUUUGGGGCCUCCAAAAAUCUCGAGAAAUAAGUUUUAAGGUCUUAUUGAAUCCAAAAUGUAUCGCAGUUGAAAAGUCAUGUCGAGAUUGGAAAAUUUGGAGUCAUGCUAGUCCCUUUGGAAUAUACAACUGUUCCUCAAAGUAUAAAAGAUCUCCUUCCACCUUAAACUUAUCAUUAUUGAUACGUUGCAUGAUAUUGAGGACUAUAGAAUCUCCAAUAGUCGCAGUAUAUACUUGAUUGUGGAAGUCAACAUCAAUUGACACUAUAGCAGAGCAAAGCUUGAAUUGUUUUGACUUCAACAAUGUUAGACACUAUUGAUUAAAUGCUACUUCUCCAACCUUUGGCGCUAGAUACGAUCUCUUUGAUAAUACAUCGGAUAGUCUUUGUUGUUUCUUAGACCGAUAAGUAAUAAGAAAGUCAAACCUAGAUAGUAACAUAUUCCAUCGAGCUUGACAACAAUGCAGAAUUUGAGCCGACAUGAAGUACUCCAAAUUCUUGUGAUCCAUGUAUACGGUCACCAGAUGCACAACUCCUUCGAGAAAGUGGCACCAUUCUUGCAAAGAAUCUACUAUCGCAAGAAGUUCUUUAUUGUGGAUCUUAUACUUGAUCUUGGUAGUAGAAAACUUUCGAGAGUAGAACGCAACCGGAUGAAGCUUCUCAUCUGCACCUAUCUGCAAAAAUACAGCUUCCAUAGUAAAAUUUGAAGCAUUGGUCUCUAAAUAGAAGGCCUUUACAAAGUCCGGAUGCACCAAGAUUGAAGCCAUAGUAAAUGCCGUCUUAAGUUCUUGAAAUGCUUUUCCGCUAGAGGUUUCCAUUCAAGCUUGUCUUUAUAUGUUAACUGAGUGAGCGGAACAGCAACUUAAGAAUAAUUCUUAAUGAAGAUUGGAUAGAAGUUAGCAAAGGCAAGAAAGCAUUGUACAUCUCUAAUCGUCUUUGGAACUUCCCAUGAUACAAUUGCUUCUACCUUCUUAGGAUCCAUCUUCAAACCUUCCGUAGUUGCAAUGAAUCCCAAAAAUUCCAUCUCACUUUGGUUAAACAAACACUUCUCCAACUUGGUGUAAAGUCCUCUCUUGUAGAGUUUUUCAAGGACUAGAUGAACAUGUUUCUCAUGCUCUUCUCUGUUCUUGGAAAAUAUUAGAAUAUCACCUAGAUAGAUGACAACAAAAUCAUCAAGGUGCUCUCGAAAGAUAUCAUUUAUCAUGUGUUGAAAGACCAUUGGAGCAUUGAUAAGAUCAAAAGACAUGACAUUAUAUUCAAAAUGGCCAUACCUUGUACGAAAAGUUGUCUUCUAUUUGUCUCCUUCUUUGAUUCGCACGAGGUUAUAAGCUCUCCUUAGAUCAAUCUUUAUAAAGAUUCUUGCACAUCCAAGUUGCUCUAGAAGACCUGAUAUCAAAGAUAAUGGAUAACAAUUCUUCUUUGUCACCUUGUUGAGACCUCGAUAAUCCAUACACAUCUGUAGCAAGCCAUCUUUCUUCUUUAUAAAUAAGAUUGGUGCCCUAGUUGGCGACUUCAAAUGGCAAAUGAAGUUCUUGGCUAGAUUCUUGUCAAUGUACUUUCGCAACUCCGCUAACUCCAUUUGUGAUAAAUUAUAGAUUGGGCCAAAAGGUGGUUGUACUCCUUUCUGCAAGUCUAUGGCACAAUCAUAUGGUCAAUGCUCCGAUAGCAUGUUGACAUUCUUCUUUUGAAACACGUUUUUAAAAUCCUUAUAUUGCUUCGAUAUACUUGCUAUCAAAAUCUUUUCUCCGCUAAUUGGAGUCGCGUAAAUGACAAACGAUGUGCCUUCCUUGGACGAUGAUACAAACGCUCUUGCUCCAAUAAAUAAGGAUUUUUUUAUUCGGGAUCUUCUAACAUGCUUACUCUUGGAAUAUUCUAUAGGAAAUGUCAUCUUUUGUAACCUCCAAUCUAUGGAUGGAUUAUGCAUUUCUAACCAAGAAAGAUCAAGAAUAACAAGGUUUGACAGGGUUCUAAUAAUAUUAAAAAUAAUAUAACUACUAUGGACUUUAAACGUCACAUCUAUAGGUUCUAAUUUAUGGGUGAUACUACCAAACAAUAAAGGUCAUCCAUCUAUUAUGUUUAUGUGAACGGAUUUAGGUUUUUAUAUUAGAGGAAUCUUGUGACGCUUAGCAAAUUCUUUGUCUAAAAAGCAAGCAGAUGCUCUUAAAUCUAAUAACGCUAAGGUUUUUAAUUUUUGAGGGCCAAAAGAUAGAAGAAUAUUAAAGUAAUGGACAAGCUGAGUGGAAAGAGAAGAACCUGAUUUUUUUUAUGGUAUUGAAUUGUUUAGCCACAUGGUCCCUAUUGUGUAUGGGCAUCCUCGUUUUUCUGAACAAAUGCACCUCUGGUCCUGAUAAUGCGUCAAUUUUGCUUCUUGAGGCAGUUCUCAGCUCUUUGGCCUUCUUCACCACACUACAAGCAUAGUCCUUCCUCCAUAUACUACUUUUUUUUCUUCUAGAAUUACGAAUUUCACAUGCACCACGUCAAUUUACAUGUCUUCUAGCUCUGAAUGUGAAUUCAGGCUACUUGUUGGAGUGUUGUGAGCCAUAUGAAAAUGUUGGAAUGCAAUGAUAAUAGUUGGAACCAUAUUAGAAACAAUUCAGAAUGUUGAAGUACUCAAUAUAAAUUAAUCUAUGAAAAAAAUACAAGAUCAAGUAAAAAAAAGUUAAAUAUAAUGUACCUUGAAAUAUAAAGCUAAAUAAAAUAAUAAAGUUAAAUUUAAAAUCAAAAAUAUUAAAAAGUUGAGGAGAUUCUUUAUUUUUUAUUUUUUUUCCACAAAAACAAAGAUCUAUAAUGAAUUACGACAAUAGUGACAAAUAGGGGUAGUAGUAACAGAUGACAAUGGUAGAAAAUGGAGUGCAAUAAUUAAUGGCAAUGCACGAUAAUUUGGCAAGGCAGUGUAGCUUGAUUGUAAGAUUGUAAAGGCAAGUAAGACAUAGAGCAUAAUUGGUAAGAUGCAUAGUGUAGAGCAAUGCAUUGUAGAAAACAAAAAAAAAUAAAACAAAAAAAAAUAAAAAAAUAAAGAACAAGGUACAAAGAAGUUUCUUAGAAUUAAAACUAAUAUACAGGAGAAUUCAUGUUAAUAAUGUGUUGAGAUUGUUUGAUGAGACACAAGAGUAGCUGGAAGUAAUGUACAUACACUUACACACAAGAAAGUGUAUAGAAGGAGAGAGAGUUUCUUAUCUAUGUAUUGAUGUGGUUAUCUCUUGUAUACAAAGAGAAGGAAAAAAGAUAAACAACUUUUCCUCAUUACAUUCCAAACUUUGUAGCUAUAGUAUUUAUUGUAAACUAUAAUAAAUAUUAUGGAGAGUGUAGGCUACAUUUAAUGCUUUUAACACUUUUAUAAGAAGUUGUUCUUUUCAAAGCUUACUACCCUCUUAUAAUAUCCACAUCCAAAAACACCUAAUAUAUCAUUUUAUCAUCCUAUAAUUUAGCUUGCAAAAGGAAUUAUUGUAGAGUUUUUAUUUUUAUUUUUUGGAAUAGAUUCUAUAGUUUGUAUCUAAAUGUUAUUUUUUUAGGUGUCUUAUAUAAAAAAAAUUAAAAUUUAAAAUUUAAAGAUAUAUGAUUGAUGUAAAUCAACCUCCAAAGUCAGCUAUUCUAUAAAGAUGAAAAAUUCUAAAUUGAAAUGAUCCGUAAUCUUUUUCAAAAUACAAGUGUGUUGAUAAUCAAGAAAGUGGAAUUGACUCCACUACCUAUGUUUAAUGCUAGGAUUUAGGAUUGUAGGAUGGAUAAAAUUAAUUCUUUGUUCUAUACUUUGCUAUUGUUUUUUUUCCCUUGAUCACUAUCUUUAUAAUUUAUCUGAAUUAUCUAAGAAGAUUUUACAAUAAGAAUAUAUUCUUUUAAGAAAUAUUUAGAUUUUUAAUAUUGAAAUAAAAGUGAACAAAAAAAUGGUUAUUUUAUCUUAUAUUCUAAUAAGAACAAUAAAUCAAAGAUAAAUGACAUUAAAUUAAUAAGGCCUGAACAAAAAAUAGGAUAUUUAUUAAGAUAUGGAUCACAUCAUUAUUAAAUAUUUAUUUAAUAUGAUUUAUUUUUGUAAAAAAAUAAAAUGAUACAUAAAAUAUAACCUACAAUAAAUUAUAACUAAUAAAUUAGUUACUUGUAAUAAUAUGUCUACAUGAGCUUUUUAAUAACUUUUUUUUUAUUUUUUUGUAAUGAAUUAUAACAUAUAUUUAUCAUAGAAUAUUUUAUAAAUUUAAUAUUUUAUUAUAUACUAUAUAUUUGUAAAUAAUAUUAUAUAAAUUAAUUUACUAAAAAAUUAUAUAUAUACAAUGACACAAAAAAAAUCUUUUUUUUUCUUAUUUUUUAAAUUUUUAUAUAAGUAUAUAAAAAAAAUACUAAAAAAAGAAAUUACUAUGUGUGAUUGUAAUAUUUUAGAAUACAAAUUUUUCAAAUUUAUACUGAUAAACUUUUAUACAAUUGAUACUUUAAAUUUUAAUCUUCUUAAUCUUUUUUAUUGCUGAGAAUAAGAAUCAAGUCUUUAACUUAUACAAAAAAGUUAUAUAAUAAUAUUUUAAAAUAAUUAUAUAAAAUAAUAUUUUAAUAAAGGUAAUUUUAAAUAAUUCUAAUCAAAUUAUAUUUAGGUAAAAUUUUAAAAAUAUAAUUUUCAUUUACACUUUAAAUCAGUAAAUUUUUUUAAUAAAAAUAAAUUAUUUUUAUUGAUUAAUAAAUUAAUUGGAUCAAUUUUAUAAAAUAUUCAUGCAUAUAAAAUACACAUUACAAAUAAAAGAAAUUUUGUUUUAAGUUUGUUUUUUUUUAUUUAUAUCAUAAGGUUUUAUUUUUAAAAAAAUGAAAUAAAAAAUAAACAUAAAUAUAUGCACAUAUAUAUAUAUAUAUAUAUAUAUAUAUAUAUAUAUAUAUAUUUGUUCCAACAUUAUAUGUAAAAAAUAUAUUUUACUAAAAAAUUAUAAAAUUUAAGAUACCAAUCUUCUUAUUUCUAAAAAUAAUAUAUAUAUAUAUGGGUGUGUAUGUGUGUGUAUAUAUACAUGUUAUGUAUUAUAUAUUUUUGGAUAUAUAUUAUCUAAAUUCUUAGAUAUUUUAUUUAUUUCUAAUAUUUUUUUAUGUCUACCAUGUUAUAUAAAAAUUCUUACAAUAAAUGGUAGGAUUUCAUAAAAUGAUUUGUGAUAUCUUAUUGAUUUAAAAAAAACUGUCUUUAACUAUUAAAAAUAAUUAUAAACUGAGACAUAUUUAAGUUUAAUAUAUUGUGAAAAUUUUACAUAAAAAAAAUUCAAAAAGCUUAGAAAUACAUAUAUACAUAUAUAUAUAUAUAUAUAUUUAAUGGUACUUUUUUAUAAUAUGAUAUUACAUAAAUGAAUUAAAAUCAAAUAAAAUUAAAAGUAAAAUAUUUUAAAUAUAUAUAUUAUUUAAUAUUUUGAUUUUUUUUAUUACCUUUCAACACAAAUUGUCACUUGUAUUAGUUUACUAAAUAAGAAAUAAUUUAGAUAAAAUUUUGUUUUGAUACUUCACAUAAUUUAUAUAUGUUUGUGAUAUAAAAGAACUACUAAAUUAGUAAUGCAGUAAAAUUUUAUAUUACUAAAUUUUGUGUACACGAUCAAAAAUGCAUUCAUAAGAAGAAAGAAAUCUUGGAAGAUAAUGUUUUCAAAAUAUACAUUGAAAGUAAACAAGAAGAUAUUUGAAUUAUUUUAUCAAGCUUAUAACCUUAUAAAAUGUAUUUGAUUGAAGUAAUAAAACUUAGUAGAAGAUAUUAAGAUUUAUUACUGUGUUUAGAAGUACCAUAUAAUUUAAAUUUAAAUUGCUAAAUUUUAAAUAUAAGUAUUAAUUUCUAUUAAAGCCUUAGUUAAAUCAAAUUGAUAUUUCUAUUUAAAUCUUGAUGAAUAAAAUAAUUUGACAAGUUAAUAAAUUUUGAUAGUAUUUAAAAGUUUUAAAAAUGUGUAUUAUAAAGUUUCAGUCAGAAAUUAACUUCCUUAAAGAUUUACACAAUUUUUCUUAAAUGCAAUAAAAAAAUUAGAUAAUAUCUAUUAAAAAUAAAUAAUAAAUUUUUAAUUUUUAAGUUAUUUGGUGAUAUUAUUAAGUAUAAAAAAAUCUCACUAAAGACAAUAAUUUUUUUAUAUUAUAAAAACCGUUUAAAAUUAAGAUAAAUGAUUAAUUAAAUCUAAUAUUGUUACUAAAUUUUAUACUACUAUAGGUAAUAUUAUAACCUUUAGUAUUUUACGAUUAAACUAUGUAAUUUUUGUACAAUAUCUUUAAUAAAAUAACUUCAAAUAAACUAUAUAUUUUUAGAUAUGUUAUAUGGAUAUCAUUUUUAACCUUAAAAAAUAAAUUAUUAUCAAAAAAAUGUUAGUAAUUAUUUAUAAACUUAUUUUAUUAUGUAAUUUCUUUAAUUAUAAGGAAAAAAAAUACAAAAUGAAUAUAAACCAAAUAUUCUUAAAGCAAUAAAUUAUCUAAAUUCUUGGUACAAUAUUUUUAGUAGUAAAAAGUUAUAUAAAAAAUAUUUUUUUAGGAAUGGGCGGUUUUUUUUGUUUCUUUUGGUACUCUUGUUUUAUAAUAAUAUGCUUAAUCUAAGUAUAUUAUAAUUUAAAAUUUAAAAAUUUUUUGGUAAACUUUAUGUUUUUUAUACACCUUUAAAUGAAAUCGACUAAAAAAUUUACCAUAAAGUCUUUUUAAUAAACUUUUUUCAAUGUUACAGAUCUUAAACUUAAGUUCUGUUAAUAUAGAGAUUGCAAUCAAUGAUUUUAACAAUUAUCUUGUGAAGCUGUAGCCAUCUAGUAGAAAUAAAUUAAUUUUUUUUUAACACUUGCAAUAUAUUAUUACCAUAUAAUGUAUCUUAGAUUAAGUUAAUCAAAAAAGAAUUUAUAAAAAAAAUUUGAUUAAGUUAUACAAAAAAAAAAUAAUUUUAAUCUUUUUGAAUAGUAGAUCUUUAGUACACACAUUUUUCGUAUUUUUAAGAUUACGAAUUUAAGUAUUUAUAUUAAUUUUAUAGCUCAAUGAUUGAACACUGUUACAAAAAAAUCUUGAAUAUUUAUUUUAUAUUUUAUUUAUUUUGAAUCCAAUAAUAUAAAUGUAUGAAAUUUUAAAUUUUUAAAAAUUUAAAAAAUAAAAUUAGAAAUUCAUUAUUUUAUUAAUUUAAAAACUUAAUCAAUAAAAAAAUCAUGACGAUCUUAAUAAUUAUAAUAAUAAAUUAAUCUUAUUUAUAAAUAGUAGAAUUUAUCCUAUUAAAGAAAAUUAAAUAAUUACUAUUAUAAUUCCUUACAAAAAAAAUGGAUUAAAAUGCAAAUGUUAGAUCUUUGAUUAUAUUCUACAUACUAAUAAUAAUUAUAUUAUUAUUUUUUAACACUUUGAUUUAUGUCUUAUUUUCUUCUAAAUAUAUUCUAUUUAUAGUAUAUAUGUUUUAAAUUUAAUAAUUAAUUAUUUUCAUCGAAUCUCAUAAAGUUUGAUUUUAAUCUCUUUACCAUAAAAUAUACUCAAAAUGCACUUAGAAACCAAAAAAUACACUAUGCACACAUCUAAAUAUAUAUUACAUUAAUCCACCAUAAACAAUCUUUAGAUGAUAUAUUUAGAUGAUGGAGUACAUCUUUUAUUAAUAAAUAAAAUUUUAUAAAACAAAUUACAAACCAAUAUAUAAGAGUUUUUAUUAUAAUGAAAAUAUUUUUAAUCGAAUAUAAUGCCUGAUUAUGUUUAAUUGUCAAUUUUUACCAUGGUUGGUUGAUUUGUAGUAAACUACCUCAAAUAAUAUUUUAUGAUUACAUAAAUUGUAAGUAACUACAAUCUAUACUCUUACACCUUAAUACAUCUAUAUUUACUCAUAAAUUUCUUUGUUGUGUAAUCUAAUUGUGUGACUUAAAUUUCUAAUCCAACUUAACAGAUACAUUCUUUCUUAUUAUUUUUGAUUGUAACACUUCACCACUUUUCCUUAUUAAAUUCUUCUAUUAAAAAAACAAUAUGUAUGUAUACAUAUAUAUUAAAUUAUUAACGUACUAAUAUUUUUAUACACAUUAGUGUAUUACAAAAUCCAGUUAAUUUUGACAACCUACAUAAUAAACAACCAUGCUAAUCGUCUUAUACCACUCAAAUACUCCAAAUUAUUCUGGAUGUCGUUGUGAAUUUUUAGUUAUACACACUAUAUAUAUUUAAAAACCAAAUUCCAAAUCCAACACAAUCUCUUACUUUACUACAAUCAAUUUAGACCCAACUUUUUAACCAUUACAUUUUACAUCUCAUAAAAACUACAAACUCAAUAAAUUCUAACAACUGAUGAAGGAUACGACCUACUAAAUCCUACUUCUUCCAUCCUCAAAACAAUUAGUUUUACUCAAAAAACUUCACAUCUUGCUACAUUUUGCAAAACCUAAAUCCAUGCAAAGGAAUUAUCGCCACAAUGCGAAUGGAAAUGGCAAAAUGUGCACACACACCAUGCGAAACAAUGAACCACUCCGACGUCAGCCAUUCUCGUAUGGUGACCGGCAACACAACCACCUGCCGACAGUGAAGCUCAAUACAUGCGCAGCUCAAGCGUCUUCCAUCACACAAACACACAAUUGCAAUUUAAGUAGCAACCAGAUACACACAAUUGUAACCAAUCAAGCAGACACAACAUCUACAAAUUUACUUCAACCAAGAUCCAUGUGCACCCACACUUCAACCCUAGAUGCAAAUUCUCAGCAACAUACACUAGUAUGUGCAAGACUAGUGUUCAUUGCAAUUGCUCAGCUGGGAUUGAAUAUCCGUCAUUCACUGCACAUCGCAUUCUACCCAUAUCAGACAAAACAGCACCAUCACAUUCUUACUGUCUGCAAUCCUGAUCAUUCGCCACCAGCUACGAUCAUAGCCAAGACCUGCAAGCGCUGAUCCAUGCUCGAAAGAGCGAACAUCGAUGAUGGCCCAGUGAUGCCACAUCAUGGUGUGUGAAGAUUCGAGCAGUUUCGAAGUCAGAAAGCGCAGAGCGCCAAGUUUGCAGUGACGGCGAGGCCGCACUUCGCACCAGGCCAUGCCGCACCAAGCCGUCCGUUGGACGGCGGAUGAGGAACGCGAUUCGAGGGGCAGGGCAUCGUGGUUGUUAGCUGAGGCUCGGAGCUCUGUGCUUGAAACGAGGCAAGGAAAGCUCUUCAACGGCCACUGGAUUAUGAUAGUUUGCACCCAUCCAGAAGACGAAUGAAACGUCGACCGCAUUGCCGUUACACUGCUGAGGCUGGUGAUCUUCUCACAAAUGAACCAGAUGAGCAGUUUCUAGAAAUCUUGCUGCUUGGGCCGCAGUGCAACGGCCAAUGCUGGAGCUGUAGGAGCCGCCUUUAGAUCAAACAGUUCUCUGGUUGUUGAGUUGAAGGCACCACAAUGGUUGUUUUGGAAGAAUUCCAGCAGACUUUGCUAGAUUGAGUUAGUCCUGAGCUGGUUUCCUUCUCUAGCAAGUUGGUGAAGGUUUCAAAAUAUUUUGACAUAUACUCUCUUCUAUUGUUAGUGCGCAAUACUUUGACCUUACAUUCACAUUGCUUCUCCACAAGUACCUUAAACUUCUUAAAUCUUAAGAAACACUCAUUCUUGGUUUUAAGGAUGUAAAUCCAUACUUUUCUUGAAAUAUUAUCAAUAAAUGUGACAAAGUACCUUGCUUCCAUAUUAGAUGGUGUCUUCAUUGGUCCACAAAUAUCAUAAUACAUAAUUUCUAACUUGGUUGCACUUGAUGCAAUUUCACAUUUGACAUCAUACCAUAUAGAAACUCCUCCUAAAUGCGGUUUUGCAUUGGUUUUUGAAACAAAACAUAUUCUCUUAAUGGAAACAACAACUCAAAAUCACUAAUGGUAUGAACUACUCAAUAGUGAAGGAUUUUUUGUCAGUUCAAAGAAAGAUCAAAGUUUUUGUAUAUAGCAAAGAUGUAUAAUUAUUUGCUUUGUUAAUUGCAUUUGAAAUACAUGAAACAAAAGUAUCAUGCACAUUGUUUUGUUGCUGAUCCUUACUUCUAUGCAAUUCAACUUUGUGUCACGGCCAUAAUCAUGUAAGCUAAUAAUUACAUAUAGAAAUAGGUAGAAGUUAGUAAAAGUAGAUACAAGUAAGUUAAUUCUAUAAUAUUUAAUAUAGAAGCUUCCUAGAAACUUCCUAAACGCUGCUUUGACUUCAUAGGUGUCUUUAAUUGACUUUUUGGAUUAGAAACGUGGUCAACAAGUUGGCCAUGUGCCACACAUGUUGUUAGCUUGAAGAUCAAGCUAACUAUGUGGCCCACACGUAGAAAAACUUGCCUUGUAAGACAAGGCAUGUGUCCUACAAAGUCAAUACAUAUUGGAGGUCCUAUAGAACGUCGCCACGUAGCUCCUACUUAGAUAGUAUAUAUAGAGACAAGAGUGAAGGCUUCUUCACUCUUGUCAACUCCUCUCUUGCUUCUAGUCCAGGUUCAAGAGUCUUUAGUUUCUUGUCUUGUGGCAAUAGCCAUUCCAGUUUCCUUUUAAUAUACCUACUUGUUUAUAUUUUGACUUAUUAUAUCGAGAUAGCCUUUUGGUGUAUAUUUUCCCUCAUCGAGUCUUUGUCCUUGACAGAUUGACAAGAAUACACUUACAAUAUCAGAGCUUUGUUUUUUCUUGAGUAAGAGUGGAUUACCCCUUUCUCUUGACAAGACAUAAGCGUAUUAGAAGUUUGCGGAUUACCCACUUCUAAACUGAUAUUGUUCUUAGUAUCUUCUUUGUUAUCAAGUCUUUCUUUUCUUUUGUCUUGAGCAAUAUCAAACAAAUUUUUCUUCUUAGUGUCAUUAUGGCAGAGCUUGUUGAAAUGAAGAGUGCAAUGGCACAAAUGCAAGAGCAAAUGAGGGAGUUAAUGCUUGCGAUGCAUCAACUCAAUUCACCAACACAGGAAAGAACAAGAAUAGCAGAAAGUGAAGAUAUAGAGAUGAUCGGAGUUGCUUCAACAUCUACAACAAAUCACGUUCCUUCUCCAAUUGUACAACACCCUAUAAGCACUAGAGAACCAAGAAUUGCCUUACCUGAGAAAUUUGAUGGUACGAGAUCAAAGUUUCGAGGGCUCAUCAAUCAAGUACAAUUGGCAAUUGAACUUCAACCGCAAAGCUAUCCAACUCCAGGAUCACAAGUUAGGUUUAUUGGCACUCUACUUUCUGGUUCUACAUUAUCGUGGUUUUCGUCUUUUCUUGAACAACGAAAUCCAAUAUUGGACAAUUUGGAAGCUUUUUUGGCGGAGUUUCGAUCUAUGUAUGGUGAACACGAUGCAACUCGUGUUGCAACAAAUAAGAUCCAAAUUCUCUGACAAGGAAAUCGCUCAGUAACAGUAUAUGCUUCACAAUUUCGACAACUUGCAAUUGACAUCAAGUGGGAUGAUGCUGCACUCAUCAGUCAAUUUCUUUAUGGAUUGCAAUACGAAGUAAAGAAAUUGAUGCUCAACUUACCUGAUCCUCAAACUUUGAGUCAAGCAAUCGACUUUGUAGUAAAAUGUGAUAAUCGACUUUUUGAAUUUCGAUCUGAGAAUCAUUCACGGGAACCUCAACGUUAUUACUCAAUGGCAACAUCAACAUCUUUGCCAAACGUACAUUCGGAAGUAGAAGACAUGCAAAUUGAUGCGGUACAUUUUAAACCUCUAACUGAGCAAGAAAAGAUUCGUCGUCGUCAAGAAGGAUUAUGUUUAUAUUGCGGUGAACCUAAGCACACUGCUCAACAUUGUCCAAAGAAACGAUGCAACUAUAAAAUGAGGGGUACGACGGUCAAAGAAGACAACAUGUCGGAAAACGGAUUCGUCCAGCUACAAUAGGGACUGUGCAGCUGGAACCUUGUACAAUUCCUAAUGAAGGUCCUAUCCUCUCCUCAAAACCCUCUCCUUGUUUUAUAAUAGACUUAUAUUUAGGACCUAAGAAUUACAAAGCCUCUGCUUUAUUAGAUUCGGGAGCCUCAGCAUGUUUUUUAGAUGAACAAUUUGUUAAAAGUCGUAAAAUACCCUUUGUACGGAAACCUAAACCAGUACAUGUAGAAGUCAUAGAUGGUCGUCCCUUGUCUUCUGGAGAUGUCACUCAUGAAACUCAUCCUAUAAAAGUAACAAUAGACGGUCAUGAUAGCUACAUAGCUUUUAACAUAAUUAAAUCCCCGUCCAAUCUAGUUAUUUUAGGUUUAUCCUGGCUACAAAAAUAUAACCCUCGAAUAGAUUGGAAUUCGCGUAAACUUGACUUUUCCCAGAGCAUUAUUAAUAGUUCUAUGAACAAAGUAAAAAAUUAUAAGUCUAGUAUAGUAAAACCCGUACUGAUAGGUGCAAAAGCAUUUAUACACGCAGCAAAAGAAAGAUCAACUUUUGCUAUUUAUGUUGCACCUAUUUCUGAAAACGUAAAGACUUCAAGUGGCAUUCCAAGUCAAUAUCAGGAGUAUCAAGACGUUUUUGAGAAAAAGAAUGCAGAUAUUCUUCCUGAGCAUCGUCCAUAUGAUUGUUCAAUCGACCUCAAGGAAGGAACUCAGUGACCAUUUGGACCAAUUUACAGUUUAUCGCAAGAUGAGAUGGCUGAACUCAAGACAUAUAUUGACGAGAAUUUAGCGAAGAAUUUCAUACGCCAUUCAAAAUCUCCAUCAGGAGCUCCAAUUCUAUUCGUAAAGAAAAAAGAUGGAUCUUUACGAAUGUGUGUUGAUUAUCGAGGACUCAACAAGAUCACAAUCAAGAACAGGUAUCCAUUACCUUUGAUAUCAGGACUCCUUGACCAGUUGAAUCAAGCUAAGAUCUAUACAAAAAUAGAUCUAAGAGGAGCAUAUAAUCUAGUACGGAUCAAAGAAGGAGAUGAAUGGAAGACUGCGUUUCGAACCAGGUAUGGACAUUUCGAAUAUAAUGUCAUGCCCUUUGGACUCACGAAUGCACCAGCUGCUUUUCAACAUCUCAUGAAUGAUGUAUUUCGUGAAUUCUUAGACAAUUUUGUCGUCUGCUAUCUAGACGAUAUCCUGAUCUAUUCUAAGAACGUCGAAGAACAUGAAAUACAUGUUCGUCAAGUAUUACAAAAACUUAGAGAUGCAGGAUUGUACGCCAAGAUGGAAAAGUGUGUAUUUCACACUACUCAAGUUGACUUUUUAGGAUACAUCAUUUCAAAUGAUGGUCUCAUGAUGGAUUCUAAGAAAGUCCAAACAAUCAUGGAUUGGAAGAUUCCAAAGACGGUAAGAGAUGUCCAAUGUUUCUUGGGAUUUGCCAAUUACUAUCGGAUCUUCAUGAAAGAUUUCUCACAAGUUGCAGCUCCACUUACACGCUUGACUAGUAAAGAUAAAUUUCAAUGGAAUCAAGAAGCGGAAGCAGCAUUUGAAGCCUUGAAGACAUCGUUUGUCUCUGCACCAGUCUUAUAUCGUGUUGACUUUUCCAAGGCAUUUUUUAUGGAAACAGAUGCAUCAGAUUUUGCCUUGGGUGCAGUUUUAUCACAAAUGGGAACAGAUGACAAACUUCAUCCGAUAGCUUUUCAUUCAAGAAAAUUCUCAACAGCCGAGAUCAAUUAUGAGAUCCACGAUAAAGAACUUCUUGCGAUCGUGGAUUCCUUUCAAGAAUGGCGUCAUUAUCUAGAAGGCGCUUCUAGUCCAGUCAUUGUGUAUACAGAUCACAAGAACCUCGAGUAUUUCAUGUCAGCACGCGUGUUGAAUCGUCGUCAAGCUCGUUGGAGUAUGUCUUUGUCAAGAUUCGAGUUCAUUAUCACUUAUCGGCCAGGAAAACAACAAGGUUUGUCUGAUGCCCUAUCUAGACGUUCUUAUUUUGCACCAAAAGAAGGAGAUGCAGCUUUUGAGCAACAAAGAACGGUCCUCUUGAAACCGGAGAAAUUUCAUCUCCGAGCAAUGAAAUCAACAUUGACUGUUGAUUCAACUUUUCUCAAGCAAAUCCAAUCCAGUAUGUCCUCAGACCCUCUUGUUCAUGAUAUCGAGAAUAAUUCUUCCAAGUCUCAUGAUCUUUCUAAGUUCGAGUUCAAGAAUAAUCUAUUAUAUUUUGAAGGACGCCUAUAUGUUCCAGAAGGAGAAGCACGUUUACGUGUUCUUCAAGCACGUCAUGACUUUCCAGCAGCAGGGCACUUUGGAUAUAAUAAGACUUUGGAACUCAUAUCAAGAGAUUUUUGGUGGCCACAAAUGUGGAAGUCAGUCAAAGACUUUGUACAAUCAUGUGAUAUUUGUGCAAGAUCAAAAAUUCCUCGUCAUCGACCUUACGGACUUCUUCAGCCAUUACCUAUACCAGAACAACCAUGGUCUUUUGUUUCUAUGGAUUUCAUCACAGAUCUUCCAAGCUCAAGAUCUUAUGAUUCUAUAUUUGUGAUAGUAGAUCAUUUCACCAAGAUGGCACAUUUUGUGCCAUAUACAAAAUCUAUCACAGGUGAAGAAACAGCUAAGCUUUUCAUUGAUAAUAUCUAUCGCUAUCAUGGAUUACCUAAAGAUAUCAUAUCGGAUAGGGGAACUCAAUUUGUGUCAAGAUUUUGGAGGACCCUUUUCAAGAUUUUAAAAGUGGACAUAAAGCUAUCUUCAGCUUUCCAUCCUCAAACUGAUGGACAAACAGAGCGCGUAAACUAAGUCUUGGAGCAAUAUUUAAGGUGUACUAUCAACUACCAACAAGAUGAUUGGACAACCCUUCUGCCAUUGGCAGAAUUUGCUUAUAAUAAUACGGUACAUUCUUCCACGCAACAAACACCUUUCUUUGCCAAUUAUGGCUAUCAUCCAUGACUUGAUACUUUUGAUUUUUCAAAAGUUGAUAAUCCUGCAGCAGAAGAUAUGGCAAAUCGGUUGUCAGAGUUACAUGCAAUAAUGAAUAUGCAAUUGAAGGAAGCUCAAGAACGACAAAAGAUAAACGCAGAUCUAUAUCGUAAGGAGCAACCACAAAUCAACGUGGGUGAUAAGGUAUGGCUACUUCGUCGCAAUAUCAAGACUACUCGACCUUGUGACAAGUUGGACUAUCGUAGGCUUGGCCCCUUUUCUGUUUCUGAACAGAUCAACCCAGUUGCAUAUCGGUUACAUCUACCAGAGUCAAUGAAGAUCCAUCCUGUAUUCCACGUGUCUCUUCUUGAACCAUAUAAGACAGUGGAUAUACAAGGAAGAAGACAAAUGCCACCGCCUCCUAUAGAAGUAGAUAAUAAUGAAGAAUUUGAGGUGGAAGAGAUAUUAGACUCAAGGCGGCGCCGAAAUAAGCUGGAAUAUCUUGUUCAUUGGCGCGGAUAUGAUAUUAGUGAACGCACAUGGGAGCCAUCCAGGAAUCUAGGAAAUGCAUCAGCUAAAGUCAAAGUUUUUCAUCAACGACAUCCAUCAAAACCAAGAUGAAAAUCUCUCUUAUAAAAGAGACAAGAUUGAGGCAAGAUAACAUUCAAUUUCCUAUCCUUGUUUGUAACUUCUUUGCAUUUGUGACGCUAAUUAGAUGGAGAGCCAACAACCAGCGGAUUCAACUCAAGAACCUUCGUUUACUGACCUGCCGGAUGAGACAUUACGAUUGUCACAACCUUCAAGACGACGCAAUCAAGAUGAAGAUCUUCAAGAACGACAUGUUCUUCCUCGAACAGAUGGUGAGAUACAACGCGUUUGGUAUCACGAUUUGGGAAGGGACUCUCGAUGUUUGGUGAUUUUGCUAGAGGUAGGAACAACUCCUGAUGGUGUUCCGAAUAUUCUAUUCGAAGGAAGUUACGAAGGCCUCAACAAUGAUCAAAUAACUGGGUGGUCUUCCCGCCCUGGUAUGGGAUACUACCGAUGGUUGAGAGGCCCUAUCAAUCAUCUUCGAAGAGAACAGAGAUCAAAGUAUGUGGCGAAUACAAUUCGUCGCAUUAUAGAUUUCCUCAACAUAUGAUGACCGCUCCUCGUGGAACUCGUCUCUAGAAGGGGGAGUAAUGUCACAGCCAUAAUCAUGUAAGCUAAUAAUUACAUAUAGAAAUAGGUAGAAGUUAGUAAAAGUAGAUACAAGUAAGUUAAUUCUAUAAUAUUUAAUAUAGAAGCUUCCUAGAAACUUCCUAAACGCUGCUUUGACUUCAUAGGUGUCUUUAAUUGACUUUUUGGAUUAGAAACGUGGUCAACAAGUUGGUCAUGUGCCACACAUGUUGUUAGCUUGAAGAUCAAGCUAACUAUGUGGCCCACACGUAGAAAAACUUGCCUUGUAAGACAAGGCAUGUGUCCUACAAAGUCAAUACAUAUUGGAGGUCCUAUAGAACGUCGCCACGUAGCUCCUACUUAGAUAGUAUAUAUAGAGACAAGAGUGAAGGCUUCUUCACUCUUGUCAACUCCUUUCUUGCUUCUAGUCCAGGUUCAAGAGUCUUUAGUUUCUUGUCUUGUGGCAAUAGCCAUUCCAGUUUCCUUUUAAUAUACCUACUUGUUUAUAUUUUGACUUAUUAUAUCGAGAUAGCCUUUUGGUGUAUAUUUUCCCUCAUCGAGUCUUUGUCCUUGACACUUUGAUCUCAUGAAUCUUUUCAAACUCUAUAUUAUGAACCGAUAAAGCCAAUACAAAAAAACUCACUAAAUUAUCACUCUUACAAGCAUCAACCAUAACCACCAAUAGCUCUUGUGUAUGAGAAAUGAAAAAUUUGUUAAAGAACUACUCACAAGCUCCUCAAAUUUUGUAAGAAUCUAAGGAUUAUGAAAGCAUAUAUUUGUGCUAUAAAACAUAAUCAUGAAUGUCUCAUCCUUCAUCAAUCUCUUAUAAGAUAGUUGACUUUGUCAUUUUUAUGGAAGCUUAGAAAAAUCUUUCAUGUUGCACGUGAUUUUGAGAUUCAAUGCAUCGCAUCUCCUUUGUAAUACCUAUCACUAAAAAUUAUUAUGCACAUGUGAUUGAGUGACAUAAGAAUGCAUCACAUUAAAAUAUAUUUCAAUUGUGAUGAUCAACAAAAUGCUUUAUAAUCUGUAUUGAACAUACAAAGUACAAAUAUCAUUAUUGGAAUUGUUUCAAAAGUACAAAAUUUUCAAGCAUUCUUCACUUAUUCCUAAAGAACCAUGUGAAGGACAAGUUUAAUGAAGCAAUAACAUAGCAAUUAGUUAGCAAAUGGUAGUGUGGCUUAAAGACAAUUAAUUCAAUAGUGAAAUUUAUAAUCAUAGAGUAAUUAGGAUCCUCUCCAUAAUUACAUAAAGACCAAUAACUUGAUUAUAUAUAUAUAUAUAUAUAUAUAGAUAGAUGAAAAGAUGUUAAAGCUAUACCACCCUUACCAUUUCAUAAUUGAUUCUAAUCAUUUCCAUCUCUAUUUCUUAGUCCCAUGUCUUCAUUUUUUUUCCCUUGUUUUAUAUCUCGUGCCUCAAACCUUCCAUGUUCAAGUUUCUAUUCUUAAUUCAUUGUCUCCUAGUAUUCUUAAAAAGCAAUCAAUACUAAUUAGCAAUAUUUUAAGCCUCCUACAUCAUAUAUAUUGACCAAUUUUAUUUUUAUAUUUCAACCUAAAAUGUUAUGACUCUUUAGCACACAUUGCAAAUGCAUCCUACAUCCCAUCUAAAAUUAUUAAGAAUUUCACCUAAGCUUGUAAUAGAGAUUGAUCACAAUGCGAUCAUAAUAGUUGUUGAUUAAGUAAAGCUUGACAAACCUUCAAAAAUACUUCUUUUUAUUUCACAUUUUGAAAAAUGAAAGAAUAUCUUGAUAAUAUUGAGACCAUCAUCUCUUAUCAAAAAUGAUUACUAGCUCUCGGAACUUGCUAUGACAUUACAUAUAUUGGCACAAGACUAAUAAUCUUUUCAAAUCACUUACCAUCAAAAAUUGGCAAAAGGACUUACAAUCCUUGACACCCAAGUCACCAUAUAAUAUUAGGUAAUCUUCUGCAAAAAAAACUUUUAAAAUAUUGUAGUAUCAAAAAACUAACCUCAAUUGUUCACUAAUCCAAGUAACAAAGACUAAAAUUAUCUAAGUAUUCCUAAUAGUAUCAAAAAGAAUUCCUUCAAAAAUCAGUAUUCGACUCAAAGAAGGCAGCAAGCAAUCGGCACAAGGAAUAAAGAAUAGAAACAAGGAUGGGAGGAAGUUGUAAAUAGGAGAUAUGAAAUAAGGAAGGAGAAUAAGGACAUGGGACUAGAAACAAGAGAUGAGAACAUGGAUGGAAAGAAGGAGGGAUUUUAGAACAAGAAAGGAGAAUGGAGACGUGGGACUUGAAAUGGAGAAUGGAUAAAAUAAUUAUAAGUUGGCAAGGGAGAGGUGUAGCUUUAACAACAUUAGAGUGUAGCUCAAAUAUAUAUAUAUAUAUAUAUAUAUAUAUAUAUAUAUAUAGACUUAAUAAAGAAGUCAUAUCAACAACUACAAACUAACAAUAAAGCAAGAAAUUAGAAGCCACCAAUUGUGGUGUUCAUCUUGAAUAUUAUUAUUAUUGUUAUUAUUAAUAAUUAAUUAAAAAUUGAAGAUACUUACAUUCUUCUUCUAUUAGAUGGCAUUGGAAUGAAAGAUUUCUAAGCUCAAGUAUCUUGAAGAAAAGAGGAUUAUAGACACUUAUUGAAUUAAUGAUAUUUUUUCAUGUGCAUUUUAUAAGUAGUGCAAAAUUAAUUUAGUGGAAUGGAACUAGUAUUGGUAUUAGUGUUUAUAGUUGAAAAAGAAUAAAUAUGAAGAUAGAGAGAUAAGAAGAAAAUGUAAGCAUAGUCAUCUUUGCAAAUAUAAAGUCAAGUUUGGAGGAGAACAGAAACUAUAAAUUCUAAAUCCUAAAUGUAUAAACAAAUAAUUUUUUUUCUUUUCUUAUUAUGAAUUUGAUACAUUUAUAUAUUAUAAUUUACAUUCAUCUAUUUUGAAUGCAAAAAAAAAAAAUGUUUUUUUAUUUUUUUUGGAUCCAAAGUUAUCUAUUUGCUAUAAAAAAAAUCAAUACAUAUUUAUAAAUUUUAAAAUUUGUGUACUUGAUUUCUUAUUUAAUUUAUAAAAUUUUAUCUUUAUUUUUAUUAUUUAUAAAAAAAAUAAAUAAUAAGUUUAUAAACUAGGAAUAUCUUUUUUUUUGAAAAUAUUAUUAAUUUAAAGAUAAAUUUGUUGAGAAGUAAUAUUAUGUAUGUAUAUAUUUAUAAAAAUUGAAAAGCAUUUCAAACCUUCAAUAUUUCAAAUUAACAAUUAAUAGUGUGAUUUUCUUAAAACUUUUGUAUCUUUCUAAAAGCCUAAUUCUUUUUUAUAAUAUGUGAUUAUAAAAUAAGUCUUAAAUUGACAUAUUUUUAUUUCUUAGAAUACAAAAAAAUAAAUAAAAAAUAAAAAAAAUAAAAACUAAAAAAACUAAAAAAAAAUAGGGCCAAUAUUUAAUUUAUACAUUAAUUCCUUUGAUUUUAAAUUUAAAGAGAAUACUUUUAUUUAAUAAUAAAAUAUAUAUUUUUUCUAUUAUCUCACAAAAAAUAUAUAUAUCAUAAACCAAUAAUAUAUAGAAACAUAAAUCUAUGGAUUGUAAUUUGUUUGAAUGUUCAGAUUUUUUAUUGUUAUGAUUUAUUUUUAAAUAUGCAAAUAUGUUUAGAAAAACAUAAAAUGAAUCAAAAGACUUCAUUAAGUUUCAUGCUUAAACUCUAUUCUAUAUAUUUUUAGCUCUUAAAUUUUCUUACAUCUUUGAAGAAAUUGCAUGUAUGUUGUCAAUACUCUUAUAAGAAUUUUAAAGACUAUAAACAUUGUUAACCAAUCUACAUUCCAAGUUACACAAGAUGUGGUUACUUUUGGACUUGGAUUUUGGUAUCUACUCUUUAUUGUGCAUAAUCUAACCAACCAUAUUAGUUUUUUCUAAGUUAUAUUCUAAAUAAUAAUUUUUUAUUUCUUAGCAAAUUAUCUUUAAUUUAUUUGAUUACAUAGAUAAAAACACAAUUUUCUUUAAUCUGUGCUUUUGUGCAUUUUCAGUUGUAAAUAUUUUCAUCUUUUGUUCAAAAUAAAAUAAAAUAAAUUUAUAUAAAAAUUAUUUAAUGUAUAUAUAUAUAUAUAUAUAUAUAUACACAAGUAUAUAUAGUUAUAGUUUUAGUUAUAUAAUUAUUCAUUUGUGUAUUUUUCUACUCUAUUUAGAUUUAAAACAUCUGAAAUACUAUAACUAUUUUAAAGAACAGAAAUUAAUAUAAUAAAAUAUAUAUAUUACAAUAAAGAUAUCAUUAUUAUUAUAUUUAUUAAAUAUGAAUUAAAAAAUAAGAUUAAAAAUCUAUAAAAAAUUAUAAUUGAUAAAUUGAUAAUUUUUUAUCUUAAAUAUUAUUAAACUCGUGUUUUUUUUACUAAAUUCAAUUAAUAUUCUUAGGAAAAUUUUAAUUUAGAAGUUGUUUUCAAAUUCUAUGUUUAUAUAUAAUAUGAUUGUUAUAACUAUAAUUAAAAUACAAAUAAAAAUUGUCUUUGGCUUAAAAUACACAAUUUCAAUAUAAUUAAGGAUAAUAAAUAUAUGGUUAAAUGCUUUUUAAUGAAAGCUUGUUCCAAGAUUUAGCAUUGAAGUAUUAGAUAUAAAUCUUGGAACAAGCAAAAAUAUAACUUUUUCAGUUUAUAUUAUUAUUAUUAUUAUUAUUAUACAAUAUAAAUCAUCCUUCUUACUUAAUUGCAAAAAAAAACACUCAUUAAUAAUAAAAUCUACAAAAAGAAUAAACUAUAUUUUUUUAAUAAUAAAUAACUUAAAUUAAGUAAAUAUCAAAUUGAAGAAGAUAUACAAGAGGAAAAACAACUUAUUGCAAGUUUGGCAACACCAUUGAUGGAAUUAGGAGACACAUGCCAACAUGGCCGAAAGAACAUCUAUGACUAUCUAUUAGAGCUUGUUUAUACUUAAGAUUUUAAUAUUUUAUGGAUAUUUCUUUGAUUUUAGUAGGCCCCUUGUAGUAGGAUUGAUAGUUUGACAUAUUAAGAUACUUCAAUAACAAUAUAAUCUUUUAAUUUUCUUUUCUAUAAGCUUAACUUUAUAUUUAAUUUCAAAUUAAGAAUAUUUAAAGAAACUAACUCACAUAUUUUGCAUGAGAGUCUUUUAUAAAUAAAAUGUAUAUAUUUUUUAGUUUCUAAUUACAUAAAAAUUAAAAACAUGUAUUGCAAUAAGAAUUCAUUUGAAUAAAUAAGCUACCAUAUAUAUAUAUAUAUAUAUAUACAUAUUAAUAUUCCUACUUUAACAAACAAUUAAUUUUAUUAUCUUGCAACAAUGGUUUUCAAAAAUCAAAGUCAUUGUAUCCAUAUACAUUUAAUAAGAUUUAUUAUACUUUAAAAUUAUACAACAUGUAAUGUAAUGAUGACAAUCUAUUAUUAACUUUCUUGCUUUAGCAAAAAUCCCUCUAAGUUUGAUCUAUUGAAUGAAUACUAUCUUAUAGAUUAUUAUCCAUGGAGUUGAAUUUAGAUGAAUAAUUUUGGAAGGAAGCUUUCAAAAAGAUUGAACCAUUUACUCCAUAUCUUUUUUUAGAUAUCAUAUGUACAACAAAUACUAGAAUCUUGUGUGCACUUCAAGAUGAUAUUUGAUACAAAUAAGAUCCCUUGUUUAACUCCCAUUAUCAAUAAAAGUGUUACCAUUAUUUACUUAUUGACUAAUUUUACAUAAGUUACACAAUUUGAAGACAAUUCAUUUUUACUUGAGUUCAAUACCUUCAUUAUCCUUAGGAUACCCUCAUCAAUAGAUCACAUCAAGAAUCACAACAAAGAAUUAUUGACUUGCUCAAAUUCUUAAUUCAGAUGGGUACUUAUUACAAAUAUUCAUCCUACCUAUUUGAAGAUAGUUUUUAAAGAUUUCGAAGCAACUUUUAUUUUAAUACUCUCUAUCAAGUCAAAUGCUAACUUGAAAUUGUGUAAUAUUUUCAUGUAGAAACUUUUUAUGACAAUUUUUUGGGCUAUAAAAUGAGUUUAGUUCUUUUGAAAUGACAUUAUCAUUUUUAGUUCAUCAUGUCAGACUUGAUGUCAUUAUACAUGCUCCAUUAUUUUAGUCACAACAUUUUUCAAACUUAACCUUCUGUCAAAUGAUUCAGAUAGCAGCACCUCUCUGAUUGAUUUGAAACAACUUAGAAUAUAUAUUAAGUGAGGAAUUACAAAAAAAAUCGGCAUUUAUUCUUAAAUGAUGGUCUCAACAGUUGUACAUCUCAUCAGGUAUCCCUCAUAAUCCUUGUUUGGUGCAGCAAAUUUUGUAUUUAUUGCACAGGUAAGUCGGUAGUAGUUGCAUUCAACUAGAUUUUUAUGAAUUUAUCAAAGGAGUUGGUUAUCUUCAGGGGGUGGGUAGAUUUUGAAACUACUCAGUUUUAUUUGAUUAUCAAUGAGCAGAUUAUCAAUGUAUGAAUCAAAAUACUCAAUUAAUGAUUUGUAAGCAGUAAUAUAUUGUGUAAGUAGUGGAUUGUGUCAAACUAGUGUGACAAUGCACCUAUCACACAAUCCGCAUACAAGUGUGAAAAUCAACCAAUAUUCAGCAUUCAGGUAAAGAAAAGUUUGUCAGUUCAUAAGCACAACUUAAACUCUUCGAAAGAAGGAAGCAAUUGCUACUGACAAGUCCAAUUGCGCACAUGCAUUGCACACAGUUGAGCAGCAAAAUUUCGAAGUAGCUCCAGCAGAUGAGAGAGAAAAAACAAGAGAAAGAAAGAAAAGAAAAAGGCUUCCACAGUUUAUUAAACUAUGUGGUUGGCAGAAACAGACCAGCAACUACGUGAUCGACAUUUUAACAGUCGGACACGACACUAAAGCACACCUAAAGCUCGUUGUUCUCUACUUUUGACUGUAUUACUGAGAACAAAUCGGUAUGGUUCGAAGUGGCAUGGAUUGAAGGCACUACCUGAGACUAAUGUUUAUGGUACAGCCCUCACGCUUGAGAAAUUUCCUCGGCGUUACGGUAUAAGGAUACAAAACUGUGAAUACUUUCACGGAACCAAUAAACAACUGAUGCAGGAAUAACACCUGAAACCUCGGCUUUUCUUCUGUGACCCAAUCCGUUGCCAGUGGACUGACAAGGAUGCCACUAUUGUACACGGGCGAUAUAACAAAAGCAAAACUGAUGAAGCUAUGUCCUGCAACCGCAAAAUUUCGAAGAGGACAAAGAGAAAAAAUAAUAAUAAUAAUAAUAAUAAAAAGAGGAAAAACUAAAAGGAACAAGGAAGAUGCAGACAAUACUAACCCCUUGACCAUGAGUGUGGAGGGCCUCUGAUGUAUUCAAUCAUAACUAGCCGAAGGUGGUGAAGAAGCAAGUUGCACUACAAGAUCAAAAUUGGGGAAGCUGGGGGAAGUUCACAUAGACCUAUUGCCUCUUGUGUGUCGUAAACUGUCCGGUCCCGGGCUGCUCACAUGUGCCUUCGAAUCCUGUGCAACGGCUCCCUCUGAUAAUGCAGCUGAGUGUUCACGCCUCAGCUUGGAGUGCUUGGAAGCCCCACCGUAUCGGUGCGUUAGAAGAAUGUAAAUCAGGGUCCGCUCGUCAGCGGCUUGGCCACACCGAGUGCAGAAUGCGUGGGAAUAAUAAGUGCUUACAGCCCAGGCAGGUAACUUUUGGGGCGAGUUGCUUGGACCUUCAUAGUCGAAGAAACCAUCAGCUGCCGCACAUGGGCACACGCAGUGUGGCUUCGCGUUCAAUAGCUUUAGAGAACAUGUUGAAUCGCACCCCACGGACCAUCUCUGCUUGUUGGAGAAGUUCUCAUUAGAGUAAUACAUCGCAGCAGCCAUGUACAUCUCGGCGAGAUGGCGAGGGGAGAAAGAAACAGGACACCUGCCACAUCCUGUGCAGAAAGUGUGCCUGUGGUGGAAGCUAAGAGCCCAAUACGUGUGUAGGUCUUUCCCUGUACACUCGCACCUGAUUCCCUUCUCGAUGUCGUCCAUCCUGGCCACCAGAAAUAACUUAGAAGGAUCUUUCAGCUCCUCGGGGAGGUCGCACAAAUCUCCACUCGAUGAUGAGUGAUGAAUUGCAGUGCGAUGCUGCCCAGGCUUGAGCGUCGUAGGUUGCGAAUACUGCCGAGAUCCUUGUGAGGACUGAGAGAACUGCGCACUGUGCAUGUGUUGAGAGGAAGUCGGAGAAUUCGGUUUUCGUGACUCGGGAACGUCGAUACCGUAGCACUCGAGCUCCCUUUUGAGCCUAAACAACUCACUCUCAGACAUUUUCGGCAGGGCCUCGAAGCUGCCGUAUCUGAGAAUAAGGACCAUGUUCUGGAAAGUGCCUUCGUCGCAAUCCAAAACAAUGGGGUCGGGAAUGCGUUGCUUCUCGAGCAAAGAGCCAAAGUAAGAAGAGUGCUUUAGCGUGUCCGCGGAGACGGUGAAGGACGCCCGGUUGCGUCCGACAUAGAAAGUUAGAUCUGAAGGCCGGGACAUGACCUCUCGGCGAUCCUUCGCACGAGAAGAGAGCUUGUCAGGCUGAAUACUGGUCUGGAUGAGGUGGGUGCGAGAGAGAUGCAAGUGAUCCAUCAUAGUAGGCGCCAUAACAUCUGCAGCUUCGUCAGAGGAAAAUAUUACGUCCUUUAAAGCAGAGCGAGGGGGCAUUCUCAGAAAAGGAGGGACCUGAUUCUCCGGCUGCUGGUCGUUCCGGACCAGCCGAGUCUCCAAAGAGGACGGCAAGAAGAAUUCCGACAGAUUCAUGAACGAUAACUCUCCCGGGCAACAGACUCCGAAAUCUCACACCUACUCGGUCAUGUCGAUACUAGAGACGCCACAGCCCAACGCUUUCUAAGUAACACUCACCUAACACCACAAAUCAUAUGUUUAAGGUAGCAACGCCAGGGAAAAACAGACAACAACUACUCUCAUCCAACGCUACUAAACAGAGACUCUUUCCAACAUAACGAACGUUUCCCACUGCGAAUCCCACGUCACAACUCUUCAACGCGCCAACCAUCAGAAAAUAAAGAAAUCCCCGUCUCACGCAAGGGCAAGACACCAGAAAUGGAUCUCGAGUGGAACUCUGGUGAAUCUAUAUCCUCGACGCGAAAUAGAUGGGAACCCGCUUGAUUCACCUCAGCAAAAACACAAAAAAUGUCACCUGUCAGGACGAAGAACUACAAAAAGGAGAAAAUGCAUGAGUGAACAUCCGACUCCCAAGUCACGUCUGCGGAGAGCUUGAGCACUCACUGCCACCACAAAGCCGUAAACUAUCUAUCCAAGGACAGAAAAAUGCCAGUAAUCUCUCACCCUCACCCACUUACUCAUCUCGAGUACAGUGUUCCAGGCAGCCCAGUGGGUGGGAGGGAGCUACCAUGACACAUUUCCCGCGCAAGGGCACGAGGGCAAAAGCCAUCACAAGCGCCGCUCACUGGUGGCAGGGGCUCACAAGCGUUACCUUCACGAAGCUGCACAAAAUCCCGACAUUGCCAUCCUGAAUUCCUCACCAGAAUUAUAUCGCUAGAAUAGCCCAUUGGCGAGAGCCCUAGUGGGACGGGCCCGCCAACCCACUACCUACGCAAUAACUGCGUCCUGCUAAUGAGGAUCCCUAUGAUAGCCAAGUACAACGUUGCAACACACCCCUCGAGCUGCAAUCCGGCACAGAUUCCGACACAUUUCGGUGUGACGUCUACCCUGAUGCGCCUCAGAUGCCAAGCAUCUACCCCCGUCCACACACACACCCCUCGAUUACCAACCCCCCCUCCCCCGUCACGGCACAAAUUCCGCUCCUUCACCAGUAACGAUCCGGUACACCAGAAGAGGAAUUCCAUUCGUUUCAAAGCCACGCGAUCACCAGUAAAUUCCCUCCCAGCACUGAAAGACCUCUCUCUCUCGCUCGCUCACUGACUCCCUCCAGGACCCAGGGAUACUUGCGAUAUGCAGCACCCGGAGAUUCUGGAAAUCCCUUCCGCAUUCUCUGGAACUUGCCUCUCGCUAGCUGCCAUAAAACAAUCACUCACACUCACGUCAAGUCGCAUAACUUCGAAGACCUAAUUCUGCAUCCUUCGAGUUUCCAUGGUGUUUAUCGUUACGCAUUCGUAAAUUGCAGCUGGUAAUGCUGAAAUCUGCUUAUUUCGAAACUCACUCACUCACCCACCCACCAGCGGCGUGAGCGUGGGGGCGCCGGCUUUAGAAA
rnacentral:lncRNA from 1 species